rnacentral:lncRNA from 1 species
GUGUCCUCUGUAUUUAGUUCAAAUUAAGAGAUAUAGCACAAGCUUUGUCAAAUUUAAGAUCUUAUAUUAAUUGAAGGUUGUUAUUGCUUGCUGGAAAUUUAUAUAGUGGACAACAAUCACAAGCAAUGGGUAGUAUCAAAUUUUAAAGUGCAAAGAUGUCAAAACAUGAAAAAACUACGUCAUUUUUUAAGUGAACGUCUCUUUACAGUUUUGAGGGGAAAUGGACCUUAGACUUCAGUUUCAUCAUUUAGUCUCAGGCACAGAACUUAUGUUGUCCUGUGAAACUAUCAUUUUUCCUUUACCAUCAGUCCUAGAACUGAGUUUCAUUGGUCAGAAAUAUACUUCAUAGUAGUACCUCCUCCAUCGUUCUACAAACAAACAAAAAUUAGUUGAUUUGUAUUUAAGUUUCCUCUUUGAUGGGAAAUGUGUCUCAGAACUUAACUCCAACAGUUGAUGUUUCCUACUUGGAGUGUUCAGUCCACCUUGAUGCAUUGUUCUUUCCCCUGAACUUGUGCCCUUCAAACAGUAUUUCUGAUCAUCUUGAAGUAAUUAGUACCGUCUGUUCAUUGCUCCCUCCCGAUAUCUUGCAUUAUAGUUUCCUCCUCUUUAAUGGGAAAUGUAUCUCCGGAUCUACCUUCUACAAUUGAUGUUUCUUAGAGUACUCAGUCCACCUUACUUGAUUGUUCCUUCCCCUGAACUUUGUACACCUCAGACAAUACUAUCGAUCAUCUUGAAGUUAUUCAUAUUGUCUUCAUUUGUAGACGACACAUGCUUCACUCCCUUUUGCAUUUCUGGCGUUACAGUUGCUUGAAAUUUUGAAAUUCAUACAAUGCAGGGUUUGCCAAGGUUCAAGCAGAGAAUUUGGAGCACAACAAGAAGUUGUAUGAGCGGGCCACUGCCAUUGCUUCAAGGAAGGGUUGUACUCCAUCACAGCUAGCAUUGGCCUGGGUCCAUCACCAAGGCAAUGAUGUUUGUCCCAUACCUGGCACUACCAAGAUUGAGAACCUCAAUCAGAAUAUAGGAGCUUUGUCUGUAAAACUGUCGGCAGAAGAUAUGGCGGAACUUGAAUCUAUUGCUUCUGCAGGAGUCAAGGGUGAGAGAUACGGACCUGAAAUCAGCACAUGGCAAAAUUCUGAAACUCCACCAUUGUCAACCUGGAAGAGGACAUGAAGACAUAGCUUUGUUGUGGCAAUAAUUCCUUCUAGCUAUUUGCCUGAUGGUGGAUUUCACUAUAUUAAGAGUUGAGUGAUAUGUAUUUGUCCCUAUAAAUUUCGUCAUACUAUUGUCUCCAGGGUUAAGGCAAGUAAAGUUAUAAGAAGAAUGGAGUUUCUUCAGAAAGGUUGUAAUGAAUAAAGAUCUGGUCAUGUAAAAGCAGAACAUAAUUUUCCUUGCAGUUGAAUGCAUUAAAGGUUAUGUAUUGUACUUUUGAAUGCUAAAGUGGUCCAUUUUUUAUGUGUUACUGCUACGAGAGUUAUAGAUUGUUGGACAUCAUUUUUUGGUUGGAAUGUUUACAUCAAAGCGUCUCCAAGGACAUGUCAUUCUAAAGUUUAAACUACAUCAUACCAACAAAAUGCAGAAAAAGGUCUAAAGUAUGGGAUGUUUGUAAAUUUUCACGGGAGGCUUUGUUGGGUAAAUUGUAAAGGACUAGCAAAUAUUGUAACAAGAAUUGGCUUCAAAUCGUGAUAGAAAUCACUUUCCUUUAGGCUUUAUUUGUCCGGUAUAACGUGCAAUAACCUUAGACAAAUAUCCUUUAAGAUAAGAUGAAGUUUUGUUUGUCUUAAACUCUUGCACAAAGCAAGACAAACCCUUUGUGAACUAAGGAGUGCUUUUGAGAGAGUAAGGAUAGUAGGAAAGUGAUUUUCUGCAGCAAACUACUCUCUACUUGACCUCUUUAUAUAGGAAGAUUGUUUGGGAAACAAAAGAUCUCAUUAAACACUUGUAUGAAUAGAUUCAAAGUAUUGUGUACACAUUCAUGCACUUUAAUUCAUGCAUCUCAUGAUCAUUUAGAUCAAAACAUGAAUCUAUCCUUUCAUUCAAUAAUUCUCAUAUACAUGAAUACAUUCAUAAAUGAAUGUACUUUUAGGAACAUUCACAAUACUAUACAUGUACCAAAAAUUAAUGAAUACAUUAAUUACAUGUAUGUACAUCAUACAAAUUUUGAAAAGUUUCCAACAAUCCUCCGCCAUUUUCAAAAUUUAGAAAAUGGAUUUCUAAAAGGUCACCAAGUAAUCUGACACUCAUAUGCAUAAAUAAUGGUGUCUUUCGAUUGAACCACUAUCUUAGUGAAGGUUCUUUGAAAUCAAUCCUUCAAGAUGGUAGACAAGCUUUGAACCACUUGGACAUUGGACCAACCUCAUAAACACAUCACACACUGAGCAAUGCACAACCAUAAGUUCUUCAACGAUACAUUUUACGGCCUUGUAUCACUAUCCUUUCUUGAAUGUUUACAAAGUAAAGUCCUUAAUUUUGUGGUUUGCCAAAAAUUAACAUUCAUAUAGGCGACAUCUUAGUGCCCCCGCCAUAGAUAGCACUUUUAAGAUUCGUUAAGAGUCCAAUGACUCAUCCUUACAUUUGCACUGGCGAGAAUAACAUGCACUAUUCAACAUUGGGAUGUCUAAACUUCACAUAGUGCACCAACCACUAGAAUGGUGUACUUUCACUCAUUGAAUUCAAGACUAGACGUUGUAUUUAGCGUUGAAUUGAGGUUCCACCAUUAGCGAUAAAAAAUUUUGGACUUUAAACCAAUUCCCCUUGAUGUCUUUGACACCAAAUUUCUUGAUAAUCCUUUUAUCAAAGGAUCACUUAAAUUUUCAUUUGAUCUCACAAAGUCAAUUGAUAUGACUCCAUUUGUAAUCAAAUCUUUGACAUAACUAUGUCUCAAACCGAUAUGUCUUGAUUUACCAUUAUACACUUGACUAUAUGCUUUAGCAAGUGUAGCUGCACUAUCACAAUGGAUUGAGAUAGGCGAUAAAGGUGUUGGCCACAAUGGUAUAUCAUAAAGUAAAUUACGUAGCCAUUUAGCUUCUUUACAGGCCGAAACAAGUGCUACAAACUCUGCUGCCAUUGUUGAAUCGGUGAUACAAGUCUGUUUCUUAGAACCCCAAGAAAUUGCACCUCCACUAAGCAUAAAGAUUCAACCACUUGUCGACGAGUGAUCAUCUUUAUUGGUGAUCCAACAAGCAUCUGAAAAUCCUUUUAAAACUGAAGGAUAACCGGUAUAACAUAUACCAUAGUUCUUAGUGGCCUUUAAAUACUUUAAAAUUUUGGUUACACCUUGCCAAUGUAACCUACUAGGGUUGCUUGUAUAUCUGUUCAAUAUACCAACUGCAUAUGCAAUAUCAGGUUUAGUACAAGUCAUUGCAUACAUUAAAUACCCUAUAACCUUGGCAUAUUCCAUUUGAGAUUUUAGAUCCCCCUCAUUUUUCACAAAAUUUAUUUUAGAAUCCAAUGGUGUUGAGGCUGGAAUACAAUCACUUUGAUUGAAUUUGUUAAGAAUCUUUUCAAUAUAAUGUGUUUGAGACAACAUUAUAUUGUUAUCAUAUUUGAAGAUUCUCAUACCAAGAAUGACAUCUGCCUCACCCAUGUUUUUCAUGUCAAAUUUGAUUGAAAGCAAAGUUUUUGUGACUUCAACUUGUUCCAAGUCAGUCCCAAAAAUCAACAUGUCAUCAACAUAUAAACAAAUUAUGACACCUUUGCCAUAAUCAAACUUGCUAUAAAUACAUUUAUCAGAUUCAUUUAUUUUGAAUCCACUAGCAAGAAUAAUUUGGUCAAAUUUCCGAUGCCAUUGCUUCGGUACUUGUUUUAGUCCAUAUAAAAACUUUACAAGUUUACACACCUUAUGCUCUUGACCAAGUAUCACAAACCCUUCGGGUUGCUCCAUAUAUAUUUCUUCAUCCAAAUCACCAUUCAAGAAUGCUGUUUUAACAUCCAUUUGGUGAAUGACUAGAUUUUGGAUAGAAACUAUAGCAAGUAGCACUCUAAUUGUAGCAAUUCUAGCUACUGGUGAAUAUGUGUCAAAAUAGUCCACACCAUACUUUUGUGUAAACCUUUUGGCAACCAACAUGGCCUUGAACUUAUCAAUAGUUCCGUCGAUCUUCAUUUUCUUCUUAAAGAUCCACUUACAACCAAUUGGUUUUGAACCAGGUGGUAAAUCUACUAAUUUUCAGGUUUUAUUAUCCAUGAUUGAGUCCAUCUCAUCAUUAAUAGCUUCCUUCCAAAAGGGAGCAUCUUGUUAGUUCAUUGCUUCUUCAUAGGUCUUGGGAUCAGUCUCAAUAUUGAAGCAAUAUGAGAUUUGGUUGCUCACUGUAUCUCUAGUUCUUUCAACUAGAUACAUAUAAAAGUCCGAACCGAAGUCUUUUGAUUUUCUAGCUCUUUUGCUCCUUCUCAAUUCAAUGGUUUCAUUUUCACCAUCUUUUGUCAAUUCACUUGAUUUUGGAAUAACAUCUUUUAUAGAGGUGAACCUAUUCUCUUCAAAAAUAGCAUCUCUAGACUCAAUUAUGGUAUUAACCGAAAUUGAAUCAUUAGGUUCAAUUACCAUGAACCUAUAUGCUUUGCUAUUUUGUGCAUAUCUUAAAAAUAUACACUCCACACCUCUUUCUCCCAAUUUCCUUUUUUGAGGUUCUGGGAGUUUUACAAUAGCUCUACAACCCCAAACUUUCAAAUAGUUUAGGUUGGACUUCCUUUUAUUCCAAAAUUUAUAAGGGGUUAUAGAACUUCUUUUAUUAGAAACUCUAUUUAGGAUAUGACAAGCCGUUAACAAGGCUUCACUCCAAAAUCCUUGACUUAAACCAGAUUUUGACAAAAGUGCAUUAACCAUUUCUGUCAAUACACGAUUUUUCCUUUCGGCUACACCAUUUUAUUGUGGUGUGUAAGGAGCAGUCACCUCAUGUUUUAUCCCAACAGACUCAAAAUAGGUAAUAUCAUAAUAUUCCCCACCUCUAUCUGUUCUUAGACAUUUGAUAAAGGAUUCACAAUGAAGUUCAACUUCUGAUUUGUAUGCCUUAAAUUUUUGCAAAGUUUCACUUUUUGAGUGUAACAAGAAAACAUGACAGUAUCUACUAUAAUCAUCAAUAAAAGUCACAAAGUACUUUUUACCACCCAAAAUAGGAGUACCAUGCAAAUCACGUACAUCACUAUGAAUCAAAUUCAAGAUUUUAGAUGAUCUUUCAACUUUAGAAAACGAAUUUCUUGUGAUUUUCGUUAGCAUGCAUGUUUUGUAUUUUCCUUCAAUUUUAUCACAAUAUGGCAGCAAAUCAAGUCUCAUCAUUUCAUGCAUUCUUUUGUAAUUAACAUGACCAAUCCUAUUAUGCCACAAUUUAAAAGAAGACUCAACCAAAGACGCAGAAAUAAUAUCACUCUUAUUAUUUCUAAUAGCGAGUACAUUCAACUUAAACAUCCCACUGCAAAGAUAACCCUUGCCUACAAACAUACCACCUUUAGACAAAAUAAAUUUGUCAGACUCAAAUAUAAGUCUAAAGCCAAAUUUAUUUAACAGCUCAGCCGACACCAAGUUCUUCCUAACUUCCGGUACAUAAAACACAUUUGUCAAGGUUACAACAUUUUCGAAAGUAAAUUUUAAUUCUAUUUCUCCAAUGUCUUGAACCGGAAUUGUAGCAGAAUUUUUCAUGUAAACAACGGUGCUUUCAUCCACCGGUUUCAUGGACUUGAAGAACGUUCUAUUGUUGCACACGUGUCGCGUAGCUCCAGAAUCAACCCACCAAGCAAAAUUAUCUUCAAUCAUAUUGAUUUCAGAUAUCAUUGCUACAAGAAUUUUGCUUGUGGUUUGGGAAGACUCUUGCUUCUUCUUCUUGUUUUGAAGAAUCUUGCAAUCGGACUUGUAGUGUCCCUCUUUCUUGCAAUAGAAGUAUUGUCCCUUCUUUCUUUUCUUGGAUUGAUUCUUGGGUUGUUGGCCCUUCUUACUUCCUUGAGACUUUUCAGUUUGCCUCUCUUCAAUCACAUGCACUUUUGAAGUAGAAUCUUUGUUCUCUUCAAGGAUUUGACUAUCCUUCUUUUCUUGCAUGCGAAUUUCCUCUUCUACUCGAAGAGAUUUAGCAAAAAUCUCAAGAGAGAUAUCAUCUUUUUUAUGUUUGAGGUCUCUUUUGAAAUCUUUCCAAGAAAGUGGUAACUUAUCUAUUAUAGAGCAAACAAUAAUGGCUUCAUUCAUGUGUAGAUUGUGUUGUGUGUAGUGAUUAAGAAGCCUUUCAAUCUCACUAAAUUGCUCCAAAACAGACUUAUUAUCUACCAUUUUAUAAUUAUUAAAAGACGAGACAAGAAACUUCUUACUUGUAGCAUCUUCUUGCAUGUACUUGGACUCCAAUCGAUCCCAAAGUUCCUUGGCAGUAGUAAUUGAAUGGUAGACAUCGAACAGGUUGUCACUCAUGGUAUUGAGGAUGUGACCACGGCAUAUUUCAUCGUCGUUCUCCCAUUUCUGACGGUUUCAGAUGUGUUCAAGAGUUUCUUCAUCGGGAUUGAUCAAUGAUUUUGGUGUGAUCAAAACAUAGACCACUUUGAGUGCAGUGAGAAGGAAAUGAACACGUUUUUGCCAACGAACGAAAUUUCCUCCAUCAAACCGCGUGAGCUUGACAAUAUUGGAUGCCAAAUCUUUCAAGGUACCAUCCAUUGUAGAGUAUAAAUAAAGCCUAAAAAUUGUUGGGUAAAUUGUAAAGGACUAGCAAAUAUUGUAACAAGAAUUGGCUUCAAAUCGUGAUAGAAAUCACUUUCCUUUAGGCUUUAUUUGUCCGGUAUAACGUGCAAUUACCUUAGACAAAUAUCCUUUAGGAUAAGAUGAAGUUUUGUUUGUUUUAAACUCUUGCACAAAGCAAGACAAACCCUUUGUGAACUAAAGAGUGCUUUUGAGAGAGUAAGGAUAGUAGGAAAGUGAUUUUCUACAGCAAACCACUCUCUACUUGACCUCUUUAUAUAGGAAGAUUGUUUGGGAAACAAAAGAUCUCAUUAAACACUUGUAUGAAUAGAUUCAACGUAUUGUGUACACAUUCAUGCACUUUAAUUCAUGCAUCUCAUGAUCAUUUAGAUCAAAACAUGAAUCUAUCCUUUCAUUCAAUAAUUCCCAUAUACAUGAAUACAUUCAUAAAUGAAUGUACUUUUAGGAACAUUCACAAUACUAUACAUGUACCAAAAAUUAAUGAAUAUACAUUAAUUACAUGUAUGUACAUCAUACAAAUUUUGAAAAGUUUCCAACAGGCUUGUGAUAGCAAAAACUUCAGGAGGCUUCUGAAAUUAUCCCUUAAACUAAACUAAAGGAGGUAAGAUUUUAAGCAGAUCUCGGUAAGUUAAAAGGUUAAAACUUUACAUACAAAUAAAUGGUCAAAUUCACUUUAAAUUUGUGGUGUCAUCUUCCACCUUAAACUUUUGUACUAUCCAAGUUCGUUUUAAUUCCUUUGGGAAAAUCAAACAUCAAAUGCUUACCAUUUAUUGAAACAUUACAUCAUCCAUCCAAUUGAAACAAACUCCUACGGAGUUUUUUUUUUUUUUUUUUGCUUUAUUUUGUUGUUAGAUAUGAAUUUAUUUCACAUUUGGUUGUCAGAUCUAAAUUUUUUUUUCAAAUUUUAAAUCUAUUUCAACAUAUCUCAUUAUCAUUAUUGAAACUUAAAACCGUUUAUUGGCAAAUCUGGUGAUUGCCAUAUGCACGGAAGGGAUGCACUUUUAAAAUUCUUUAUAUAUAUUUUUUUAGAUUUGUUUGUAAUUUUCAAAUCUAUUGUAUCUGUUAAAUUAUGAUCUGUAAUUUUUAAUGGAUGUUUGGCCUGCCAUUAGGGGAGUUAUGCAAAUCAAAUCAUGUUAGAUGAUUUCCAAAAAAAACUUAAUCGUCAAUUACUCUUUCCCAUUUUAUUUGUCCACUUUUCAAUUGUCAAUAACUCUUUUAAGAAACUUUGUAAUACAAAAAUCAACUGAAACCAGUAGAAUAUUACUUUGUAAUAUUUUUUUUGACAAAAAAAAGUAGAAUAUACAAUUAAUAGCAGUAUUCAUAUUAUGUUUUUGUAUAUUACUUGUACAUCUAAUUAGUCCCAUUUGGAGAAAAAAAAAGGAUGAAGACAAAGACAAAAACACAUAAUAGUCACAAAAAACACAGAUCUAGCUCAAAAUAUGGCAGUGACCAAUUGUUCUGCAAAAUUAUUAGGAUAAGCAGUUGACAGAUUCUAUAAUCGCUUUUGGUCAAAUAUUAUUUAAAUUAGCUGGAUGGUCAAAUAUUACUUUUAAUUUUAAUCAUUUAAAUUACCAGUUACUAUCAUCAUUGGAAGAAGCACAUUGAGGGUCUGUUUGGAUUGUGAAUUAUUAGAGAUAUUUUUACUGUAGCACUUUUUAUGAUGUGAUGUAUGUGAGAUAAAAAGGUAAUUGGAAAGGUAAAAAGGUGUAUUGGAAAUUGUAAUAAUGAUGUAAGCAAAUAAAUUUUGAGAAAUAAAGCCCAAUCCAAACAAAGCCUGAAGGAAUGAUACUCUAAGAUGACUACAGAAAUUUUCUAGCUGGUUAUACAACAUAUUAAUAGUUGAAUGUUGACCUCACCAGCCAUCCCUCAUUCCUUGUCGCAUCCUUUUUAUGAAUUGGAUUCAUCUAUUUGGUGUUCUAAAAUCACAUUUAAAAGUUUUUUUUUUUUUGCGAAAGUGUUAUUAUUCAGGAUGUGUAUGAUAAUUUAAAAUUUUAAUAGUGGACCUAAAAAUAAAACUUGUAAAUUUUACAUAUGAGCCUACCUACUUUUAAAAUAGAGGGAAAAAAACAUCACAUAACUUCAAGUCCAAGAUUGUAUGCAGUUUGUCCAAUAAAUAGAUAUUCAUAAUUCAUAAUUUCAUAUACACAUGUUAACUAGAGAUGUCAAUCACAACCCAAUUAUAUUGAUCCGUUCAAAACCGUUCACUAAUAACCCAUCCAAAUUCACUCAUUAAAAUUUAAAUGGGUCUAAGUGAGUACCUAAUUAAAUCCAUUUAAUUGGUGGAUAGUUGAUUGAUUUGACUCACCCAUUUAUAACCAUUUAAAAAAAUAUAUUUUUAAACUCAAUUUUUACUAAGUGUUAAGAAGAUAAAUUUGAAUUUCCUACAAAUCUAAUAACAAUAAAAUAUCAUUUUUCUUGUUAAACGACAUGCAAAAAAUUUUAAAAAAAAUAGAAUUUCAAAUCAGUGUAAAUGGGUAAUUAAGUAUUUUCAUAUCCAUUUAUUAAAUAGAUAUAAAUGGAUUGAUUCAAUUAUAUCUAUUAUCCAAUUAAAAUUUGCUCAAACCUGUACAAGUCACUCAUUUUUAUGCUUCUAAUGUUAAUAUAUAUUCACAAGUGAAGAGUGCAGCAUUGACAAGGAAGAUAUACUUAUUUAUCCCAAUAUUAUAGUCAUUUUUUUCAUUACAAAAGUAUUGAUAAUUUCAUAAUUUCAUCAUCAGUGACAUAACAUUACAUGAAUUUCAACGAAGUAUGUAAUCAGUGACAUGACAUAACAUGUCAUCAUUAGUCUUCAGCGGUGAAUCUUAUCACGAGGCUUCUUUUCGAAGCUUUGAUUAUGGCAUACACUUCUGACAAUAUGUCCCUUUUAGAAUAGGGAUAAGUUUCUGUGACCAGGCUUCUUUUCAAAGCUUUGAUUAUGGCAUACACUUCUGACAAUGCCCCUUUUAGAAUAGGGAUAAUUUCAGAAACCUCCCUAGGGUUUGUAACAAUUUCAUCGAACUUUCUUGAAAUUUUUAAUAUUACACUUAUCUCCCUUUAUGAUAGACAAUAAUUAUAAUAACCUUCAUAAUUUUUUCAAAGACAAGCUAUUGAUAAAAAAGAUAAAAAAAAAUGAAAACAAUUCUUCUUGGCUAAGCCUCAUAUUGUGACUAAAUUGUUUCACCCAUAACCACUAAAUUGUAAUUUCUAUUACUCAGAAAAGAAGCAUUUUGGUAAUUGAGGGGCUUGGUUGUUUGAGUGGGAAAAGGGUAAGAAUUGUGAAUUUUAUGAUUGACGGUUUGGUAGACAACAUAUGGAAAAAACUUAUAGAGAGGUAAAAAUUAUAAAGAUAAGAAUUAUGAUGAUGGAUUUUGACAUCUAAAAUAUCGAGCUUGUUCGAAAAAAGGAAGAAAUGAUAAGAUCGAGUUUGAAAACUUGGGUAGAUGUAGAAAAUUAUGAGAUGAAAAAUAUUAGGACAUUGUCUAAGUAAUAAAACUCAUAGGUUUAUAGUAUACAAGUGUAUUCUUGAUUUUUGAAAAAUUUUAAUGACUAUUCAUAUUUUGAAAAUUAGAUAAGGGCAAUUUUGGACAUUCAUAUAUUUUUCUGGUCUUACAUCAUCAAGGUGAAACUCAAACCUAUGUUUUAGUAAAUGUAUGUGUAAUUUUCAAAAAGUGAGGAAAGCUGUCUGAAAUUAUCAGAAACCUCAGGGGUGAUUUAUGAAAUUAUCCCUAAUUUUUUUUUUGGUACAAAAAACUCCAAAAUAAUAUGUCCCACACUCUGUGCCACACUCUGUGCCACUUUUUAUUAUAUUGCUAUUUUUCCUACAUAAAUAACAUGUUUUAAUUCUUUUUUGCUUUCUUAAGAUCCAAUAACUAUUAAUUAAGUAAAAAAUAAAUACAACAACUUCAAAAAAGCAAUAUAUAAUAGAAAAUUAAAAAAUACAGCAGAAAAUUCAUAAAAAAUCUCAUUUUUUAUAUAUUUUGAUUUUUUGACUUUGUUAAAUUUUGUGUAUUACUCAAUUAAUAGUUAUUGGAUCUUAAGGAAGCAAAAAAGAAUUAAAAUAUGAUGUUUAUGUAGGAGAAAUAGUAAUAUAAUAAAAAAUGGGACAGGCACAUGGUGUGGGACAAAAGGUCCGUUGCACCAAAAAAGUGGCAGUUCAAACUGGAACCAUCUCCUAUUUUCGCAAGUCCUCCCGCCGGCGGCCCUGGGUCAUCUAUAAAAGUAUAGACCAAGACAACACUAAUCCCUCAUCAGUCCACUCCAUACUUCUUCUUCAAGCCUCAGCAACGAAACAAUAAACUCUGCUCCACUCAACUCUUUCCUCUGUGUCUUGUGCUCUUGUCUGAAAAUGGCGGCGUCAGAAGAAGUGAAAGUGCCAAGAAUCAAGCUGGGGUCGCAAGGUUUUGAAGUUUCAGCUCAAGGGCUGGGCUGCAUGGGCAUGUCAGCCUUCUACGGGCCGCCAAAGCCCGAGCCUGAUAUGAUCAAACUCAUCCACCAUGCUAUUUGCAGAGGAAUCACCCAUCUUGACACCUCCGAUAUCUAUGGACCUCACACCAACGAAAUACUCAUUGGCAAGGUACCAUAUUUGCAAAUUUUCUGCUGUUGUCUGCUAUGCGUAAACUCUUGUAAUUUUAAUUUCUAAAAGAGCAUAUUUUUAAAUAUUUUAUUUAGGUAAAUUAUACUUAAUCCCUUGCACUUCAAAAUUUGUCUCCCUUUGUGCCCCCUUAAUUUUGUUUGUCAGCACUUAAACUCCACUUGUUUAAAUUGUAAGUAUUAUUAGUCAAAUAUGACAUUGUUCUUCUUCAUUUUUUCAUGUUACUGCCUUUUCAGUUUGUCCUCCUUUAUAAAUAUGGGAUGAAUUACUUUGAUUUUGAUUUUGGUGCAAUUUUGUAUAAAAUGAUUUUUGCUAUGAAGUUAUUGAUUUAUUAUGAGCUAUGCGUUGUAUAUUUACACAAAUUCUGCUAGUUAAACAUUCACUUGAGCAGGCCUUCCAAACAUGAGCAAUAUAAUUCUCUAUGGGUGCAUUUGGUAAAAUUGACGAUUGAAAAUUGAAAUCUAAUUUAAAGUCUGAAUCCAUAAAAUUAUUAAUUUGUUAAGUACUAAAUUUGAUACGUUUGAGUGCAUGUCAUGUCAAGUGAUCACAGAAUAACUCAUCACUUAUUUUUUAAAGCAAGUUUUGCUUAAGAAAUUCAGUGCCAUUUAAUUAAUUUAGAUAUUCAAUGUUUAAUUAUCAAACAUAUAUGAAUAUAUUAACAUCUGAAUCUAUUAAUUUUAAGUGCUGAAUUGGGUUAUCAAACAUGACCUAUAAUUAUUAGGUAACCAAGCAGACAACAUGUUUAGUGUAUAAUAGUAAUUAACUUUCAAUUUGUGUCGUUAUUCUUUGGUAAAGAACUCUUAGAAUUAUUAAUAAUAAAUUUCUCAUACACGGGAAUCAAAAUAAUUGAAGUUUUAUCUCUACCAUUGAGAUAUGUUGCCAUCUAAAAGAAAGGAAAGGGAAGGAAACAUGGGGGAAAAUAGGGAAAGGGCAAAGUGAUGAUAAAUAAAAUUGGAAGUAGCAAAAUGAGACAAAUGAAUUAUUGCAAGGGGUUAAGUGUAAAUUAUGUUUAUUUUAUGAGACCAUUUAGGCAGAAAGACUGGACCCUUUUAACGCGCCAAUCAAAAGUUCCAAUUGCUGAAAAUAACAUAAAAACUUGACUUUGUUUGGUUUGGCGUUUUUGGAGGUGGUUCAUGAAAAUUUUAUUGUAGUUUUUUUUUUCAUCUUGAAAAAUAUACUUUUUUCAUCAAUUUAUGGAAAGUUUACAAUUUCUCUGAUAACAGAUGGUAAAAUUUACUUUUUACGAGCACUGAAGUUUUAAAGAUUAUGAAAAGAGAAUUGUAUGAAGGAAUAGAAGGGAAAAGAAGGGUAAGAAAAUGGAUGGAUUGUGUUUGGAUUGAUUUUGGGAGGGGCAAGGAGAGGAAACGGAGAGAAAAGGAAAUGGAUGGAUUGUGUUUUGCUCAGACAUCAUUUCCAUACAAAAGUAGAUAGAAACAGAGGGAAAGAAAAUCUUGUUGAUGAUUUUCUAGUAAAAUGCCUCGAGCACCCAAAUUUUACAUAAACUUGCCAUUUGUGAAACCUGCUUUAGAUAUGAAUUGUGGGAUGCAACAGCAGGCUAGGAAUGUUUGACGAAGCAACUUGUGUAGAUAUUUUAUCGUUAAGUAAAGAGAAAAACUAUUCCUUUCAUGUCUGUCGUUCUACCAAACAGCAUAUUUAGGUUUUCUUUCUUUCCCAUUCAUAUCUAAUCCAAAUAAGACAAAUGAGAACUAUUUUCUCUACUCUCCUUUCCUUUCUUUUUCACUAGCAUGUUUUAUUUAUUUAUUUAUCCUUUCCUUUGAUCCAAAUGGUUCCUAAAAGGCCACUAAUUAUUCUACAUUGACCAGUUCCCUAUUUUUGUAUUAAUUUGCAUGUGCACGAUUCUGUGUAUGUUCAUGUUGUGCAUCAAAUCUUGUGAAUGACAAAGCUAGAGUGUAAAUUUAAGUUGAAGAAAUAUAAAACAAAAAAGAAAAUGGAUUGGCUCCUUUAAGAGUAUCAGACUUCUAAACCCCAAGGAUUACAUAAUUUUCAUAUCCUUUGCGAUACAAAGAAGUGGCAUAGCCUUAACAAUGAAGUGUUGGAAAAACUCCAGAAGGAAUGUGCCAUCCAUGAAAUCCCAAAUCGGCUUGCUGUACCAUGCAGUAAUGUGUAUGUCCUUGAUGAUUAACAUAAUGAAAUCAUGGUUCUAGGCCUUGAAGGAAGGAAUAAGAGCGAAAGUGGAGCUAGCAACAAAAUUUGCAAUCAGUUAUCAGGAUGAGAAGUUUGAUGUACGUGGUGAUCCAGCCUAUGUGAGGGCUUGUUGUGAAGCGAGUUUGAAGCGGCUUGAUGUGGACUGCAUUGAUCUCUAUUAUCAACAUCGCAUUGAUACACGUGUGCCCAUUGAAGUCACGGUUUGCUCGUCUUGCCUUUCUUGUUUUUUAGCUCCACCUCAUUCUUGAUGAAACAAAAGUUUGAUCAACUCCAAAUUUUGAAUAAUUCAGUUUCAUGUCCGUUUCAAUUCUUCAAAAGUUGCACAGAAAAGUUAGUCAACCUUAUGGUCUCGGCUAAUCUGCAGUAUGGUAUAGCUGAUUUUGCACAAGGCAUCCUGAAAAGUGAAAACAAUGAAUAUGUCUUAUAUUAGCUUUGGCUGUCCUGCUGAGGGAUAUACAGGUGGAAAUCAUGCUAUACAUUGUACAGCUUUCCUUUAGAACCAAGAAACCCGAGCAUUCUCUUUCAAUUGAGAUAGGCUAUCUGGUUGAGUAAUGAUCUGCUAUUUACUUACCUUGUCAACCAUUUUCAGUUGGUGCCUAAAGCACUGCAGAUAGACAUUUAUUAUUGAUAUCUAAAAAACAUGGUACUCAUUUUGUCCAGAGCACAGCUUUUUGUCUAAUUGUCAAAGCCAGCUGCAACUGCCCCAUUGACCUCUCCAGACAAUUCAAAGAUUUCAGCAGCUUGCUUACAUUCAGCUUUUAUGAAACAAUUUCUGUCUUCUUUUUCUCAUGUAAUCAGCAAAGAAUUGUCUUGGUUUCCCUGAGUAUUAGAUAGAAACUUUCUUGCAGUUUAAUCACUCAAAAUACAAGCAAGUAUAAAGGAAAUCAAGCAAAAUUGGCAACUGAUAAUUGGUAUGUACGGCCAUUAUUAUAUAUAGAAGUCAACAAUGCCAUGUAAUCAUAUUGGAGGAGCAUUAUGUUGGCAUGGUCCAGUAGAACUAAGUCCUCCGGUGGGCUGUACAUAGAGAACUAUCACUGGAUGCUGAUUGCCAUUUUCAUCAAUUAGUGAUUUCAGUUUGAUGUAUACUUUGUCCACGACAUCGUUGAACUAGUGCAACUUUUACUUUUUGCACGUAAUAUUUCGAUUAUCUGCCUAAGUGUUGAAUGUAAUAAAUCAGCUUAGCAUCUUCUUGUCCAUUGAAAUUCUCUAGAUAGGAGAGCUCAAGAAACUGGUUGAAGAGGGUAAAAUAAAGUAUAUAGGUCUGUCUGAGGCCUCAGCUUCAACAAUUCGAAGAGCACAUGCUGUUCAUCCAAUAACAGCUGUACAGUUGGAGUGGUCAUUGUGGACCAGAGAUGUCGAGGAAGAGAUUAUUCCCACUUGCAGGUAGUGCAUAUAUUCUGCUGCAUUUUCUACAUGGUCUAGAAGAAAUAUUAAGUUCUCAAUUCAGUUUUUGGUAUAAUCUUUCAGAGAGCUUGGCAUAGGGAUUGUUGCAUACAGUCCACUUGGACGAGGUUUCUUCUCAUCAGGUCCAAAGCUGAUUGAGAAUUUGGCUGAAGGUGACUACCGAAAGGUUUGUGCAUAUCGAAAAAGAUGGAGUUUUUGAGUAUACAUUGUUUAUAGUUCGAAUAAGUUUCUCACUCAUCUAUUUUUACCACAUUCAGUGGCAAUCAUGCUUGAUAUCAAAAGAGGAAGAAACUAUGUCACUUUUUAAGUAAAAGUCUCUUUACGGUUUUGAAGGGAAAAGGACCUUAGACUUCAAUUUCAUCAUUUAAUCUCAGGCACAGAACUUAUGCUGUCCUGUGAAACUAUCAUUUUUCCUUUACCAUUAAUCCUAAAACUGAGUUUCAUUGGUCAGAAAUAUACUUCAUAGUAGUACCUCCUCUAGCGUUCAUCGUAGUACCUCCAUCGUUCAAACAAACAAAAAUUAGUUGAUUUGUAUUUUAAGUUUCCUCUUUGAUGGGAAAUGUAUCUCAGAACUUAACUCCAACGGUUGAUGCUUCCUCCGUGGAGUAUUCAGUCGAACUUGAUGCAUUGUUCUUUCCCCUGAACUUGUGCCCUUCAAACAGUAUUUCUGAUCAUCUUGAAGUAAUUAGUACCGUCUGUUCAUUACUCCCUCCCGAUUUCUUGCAUUAUAGCUUCCUCUUUAAUGGGAAAUGUAUCUCAGGAUCUACAUUCUACAAUUGAGGUUUCUUAGAGUACUCAGUCCACCUUACUGGAUUGUUCCUUCCCCUGAACUUUGUACACCUUAAACAAUACUAUCGAUCAUUUUGAAGUUAUUCAUAUUGUCUUCAUUUGUAGAUGACACAUGCUUUGCUCCCUUUUGAAUUUCUGGCAUUACAGUUGCUUAAAUUUUGAAAUUCAUACAAUGUAGGAUAUGCCAAGGUUUCAAGCAGAGAAUUUGGAGCAGAACAAGAACUUGUAUGAGCGGGUCAAUGCCAUUGCUUCAAGGAAGGGUUGUACUCCAUCACAGCUAGCAUUGGCCUGGGUCCAUCACCAAGGCAAUGAUGUUUGCCCCAUACCUGGCACUACCAAGAUUGAGAACCUCAAUCAGAAUAUAGGAGCUUUGUCUGUAAAACUGUCAGCAGAGGAAAUGGCGGAACUUGAAUCUUUUGCUUCUGCGGGAGUCAAGGGUGAUAGGUAUGGGCCUGGCCUUGGUACUUGGCAAACUUCUGAAACUCCACCUUUGUCAACCUGGAAGAGAACAUGAAGACAUACUUUGUUAUUGCAAUAAUUCCUUCUAGCUAUGUGCCUGAUGGUGGAUUCCACUAUAUUAAGAGUUGAGUGAUAUGUAUUUGUUCCAAUAAAGUUUGACAUACUAUUGUCUCUAGGGUUAAGGCAAGUAAAGUUAUAAGAAGAAUGGAGUUUCUUCAGAGGUUGUAAUGAAUAAAUAUCUGGUCAUGUAAAAGCAGAAUAUAAUUUUCCUUGCAGUUGAAUGCAUUAAAGGUUAUAUAUUGUACUUUUGAAUGCUAUAGUGGUCCAUUUUUUAUGUGCUACUGCUACGAGAGUUAUAGAUUGUCGAACAGCAUUCAAUUCAGGACUUAUUAAACAUAAGCAUAUAAACAUUUUAUGCUCGGAAUAUUUACAUCAAAAGAAACUCCAAGGUCACAUCAUUGUAAAGUGUAAACUACAUCAUAUUAAUAAAAAGCAAAAAAAAAGGUCUAAAUGAGGAAAAAAAUGUACUAUAGAAGAAGUCAACAAUGUCAUGUAAUCAUUUUAUCCUAAAAUUGAGAUUCAAAUUUAGUUGAUUUGUAUUUUGAGUUUCCUCUUUGAUGGGAAAUGUAUCUCAGAACUUUAACUCCAACAGUUGAUGUUUCCUACUUGGAGUACUCAGUCCACCUUGAUGCAUUGAUCUUUCCCCUGAACUUGUGCCCGUCAAACAAUAUUUCUGAUCAUCUUGAAGUAAUUAGUACCAUCUGUUCAUUACUCCCUUUUGAUUUCUUGCAUUAUAGUUUCCUCUUUAAUGGGAAAUGUAUGUCAAGAUCUACCUUCUACAAUUGAGAUUUCUUAGAGUACUCAGUCCACCUUACUAGAUUGUUCUUUUCCGUGAACUUUGUUCACUUCAAACAUUACUAUGAUCAUCUUGAAGUUAUUCGUAUUGUUGUCUUUUGUAGACGACACAUGCUUUACUAAUUACUGCACUUUGAAUUUCUGCAUUGCAGUUGCUUAAAUUUUGAAAUUCAUACAAUUUAGAAUAUGCCAAGGUUUCAAGUAGAGAAUUUGGAGCACAACAAGAAGUUGUAUGAGCGGGGUCAAUGCCAUUGCUUCAAGGAAGAGUUGUACUCCAUCACAGCAAGCGUUGGCCUGGGUCCAUACCAAGGCAAUGAUGUUUGUCCCAUAACUAGCACUACCAAGAUUGGAAACCUCAAUCAGAAUAUAGGAGCUUUGUCUGUAAAACUGUCAGCAGAAGAUAUGGCUGAACUUGAAUCUAUUGCAUCAGCUAGAGUCAAGGGUGAUAGAUAUGAUCCUGGCCGUAUCAAGGGCAGAGGUUAUGGGAUCUGAUUAUGGGCAACUGAUUAUGGAAUCUAUUCUAUCAUAAUUGCAAAGAUUAUGACUGAAAUUAUGGGAUCUGCUCUAUCAUGUAUAUUAGCUGUAUAUUAGCAUAUGUGUCAUUAAUAUAUCAGAUAGGUAGAUAUAUUCUUACAUAGAAUAGAAUGUACAGAGUUUCUAUUUAAUGGAAAAGAUGCACAAAAGACAGCAUUCAGUCUUUGAUCUAGAAAAUUGUCAUGGUAUCAGAGCUGGUUAUUUGAAUUUCUGUGUCUUUCAAAAUUUGCUGAGUUGUUAUUCUUCUUGGGUUGAUUAUUUUGAUCAAUCAUUUGGUUUCAAGAUAUCAUUUUGGGUCAAUCAUAUUGUGGUUGGCAGCCUUUCUUGUAAUUCAGAUCUUUGUUUUUUUGAAAGUAUGUCUGUGGCAAACUCUUUGGGAAAAACACAUACGGAAUCUUUGUCUAUCAAGUUCAUUGGGAAAAAUUAUGCAGCAUGGGAUUUAGAAUGUUUCUAAAGGCAAAGAGCUUUGGAGUCAUAUUGAUGGGUCUUCUACAGAACCUAGAGAUGGAAAAGAAUUUAGUCAAUGGGAGGCAAAGGAUGCUAGAAUUAUUUCUUGGAUUCUAGCAUCUAUUGAAGCUCAUAUGGUGAAUAAUUUACACUCCUUUAAUACAGCAAAGGAGAUGUAGGAUCAUUUGAAGCGUGUAUAUCAUCAAGAUAAUACAGCAAGAAGAUUUCAACUUGAAUUGGAAAUUAGUAACUACGGCCAAGAUAACCUCUCUAUUAAGCAGUAUUAUUCUGGAUUUUUUAAUUUAUGGAGCGAAUACUCUGGUAUAAUCUAUUCUAAGGUACCAAGCGAAGCCUUAGCUGGUAUUCAAGCAGUUCAUGAAGUUAGUAAGCGUGACCAGUUUCUAAUGAAACUAAAGCUUGAAUUUGAAGCGGUCAGAGCUGGAUUGUUAAAUAGAAAUCCAAUUCCUUCUUUAGAUGUAUGUCUUGGUGACUUGUUGCAAGAAGAACUGAGAAUGGCUACACAAACUAUCAUAGGUGCAUCGAAGGAGAUAUCCGAAGUUGUCAAUAUUGCCUAUGCUGCUCAAGGGAGGAAUCGCGAAAAGGGACAAGUACAGUGCUUAAAAGCAGUCUGUUUGCCAGACACAUGGUGAGCCACAUUUAAAAAUUGGUUUCUAUCAUAAAGCCUAUCAUGUCCGGACAGAAGAUGGACUGUUUUUUAAAUUUUUUAUGAAAGCAAGUGAAAAGUGUUGCAACUCAGGACUUGGAUGGUAAUUCUAAAAUUUAUUAGUGCACCUACCUUUUAACUUUUGGUGUGCUUUUAAGGUAUCAAAUGGGGGAAAAAAAACCAACACCAUAUAACUUCAAAUGCAAGAUGGUACGAAAUUUGUAUCCAUUGACAUGUAAAAAGUGCACCGUUCAUCACAAAGAUAUUUAUCCUAAUAUUAGAUUCAUUUUUUCAAAAAUUCAACUUUGCAUGCAAACAUGUAAUCAAUAUGCAUAAAUAGAUAGCAUUAGAUGAAUUUAAACAAGUAGCCUUCAAAUUUAAAAAUAUUUGAUUUCAUAAAGGUGCAUUCGCAAUUUAGAAAAAGGACUUUUCAAAUGGCAAAUCUAGAGAGCAAUAAAUACUCCUACUUUAUUUUGAUUUCAAAUCUUAUUUUGACUUGUCAAAAAAGUGAAACACGAAACCAAUAAUGGGUCAGAUACAAGGCUAAUUACUCAGAAUAUCGAUGUAAAAAAUAUUGGACAUAUAUGAUUUUGACAAUGGGCAUGUAUAAAACUAUUGCUGUAAGGUUGUGUCAGCCCGGCAGCAAAAGAGGGUUUUUUUUUAAAGCCUGCCAUUGCCACCGAGCUGACACGGCUCGGCAGCAAUAGUUUAAUUUUUUUUAAACGCUGCCGGGCCUUGUCAGCCAGAUAGAACAAAAAAAAAAAAUUUUUUUUUAAACACAGCCCGGCAGCGGGCAACAUUUGCAAAAAACUUUAAAAAGCUGGCUGCCGGGCUACGACAGUUCAAAAGAUUUUGCUAUCCGCCUACAACACCAGGUGAUAAAGAUAAGGGCAAAGGCGUACCGGGCAUUGAUAUGAUCAUUUCCGGUGCAUGUUUUAAAAUUUCAAAUAUUUGAAUAUGGGGAUUUAGCGUUAUUUUAAUCUUUUAUUAUUAUAAUGCUUGUCGUUAUUUUUAAAUUUCACAAUUUCAGCAUGUCAUGUUGUGCAUUUUUCCUUCUUUUUUUUUUUGCCUAUUUUGUUUUUAUAUUGCACAAUAACUUUAUAUUUAUAAAAUUAUAUUGUACAUUAAAAAUUACAUAAUAAUUUUAACAAACAAUUUUCCGGUACAAUUUGAAAACUGCAUCUUAUUGUAAAAUGAAAGAGAUUUUUUGUUUAAAAAACCUUUUUUUAGUUUUUUUACCUAUCGGAGUAAUUAUUAAUUUUACAAAUCUGUUUUCAUCUUUUUCUUACGUUCCAACUUUGAAACGUAAUUUAAUUAACUUAAAAGACUGUCGGGUUUAGUAUGUCAGGUAUCACACUUGUUGUAAUUAAAAAAAAAUUUUCUUCUUAUUUUUCAUUUUUUGUUUUUAUAUUGCAAAAUAAAUUUAUACAUUUUUUCGAUUUUUCUAUACAAUUUAUAACAAAAAAAAUAAUAUCAAAUAUUAUACAUUGUAAUUUUAACAAUUAUUUUGCAACGGUUUAAAAAACCUUUUUUUAGUUUAACAUCCUAUAUAUUUUACGAAAAUGAUUUGAAUAUUUUUUAAUCAUUUAAAGAAAAGAUAGAUUUCUACAAUUACUAUUUUUUAAAUUUUAAUCCUUAAGAUAAAGAUUUUUGCGGGAAAGAUGAAGAUUUAAAGAAACAAUAAAGAGGCAAAGAAAAUAAAAGAGAAAAAUAGGAGAGGUAAUUUUGUCCAAUGGAGGAUAUAAUGAGACAGAAAAAUUCCGAUGAGGGAUAAAGUAAAAAAAGAGAUAUAUUUUAAGGACAUUAAUUGUGAUUAACCCUAUUUCUUAUGCUCAAUUUGUAACUGGUCCAAAGCAUCAAAAGUAGCGUCCGCCUCCCAGGUGAUGAAUUCAUGGUCUUGAAUGUCCAAUAACCUAAGAAGAGUAAAAAGAUCACUUUAAAGUUGCUCCACACCCUACAAAUGCUUCUGAUACUAACUUUCUCGUCAUAUUAACAAAUGCUCCGCACCUUAAUGCUUCAGCACCCGUAAAAAACGUGUUUUUGCAACUGGUCCAAGAGUUGAACCCUUCGCUCAGAGUUACUUCUGGAUGUUGAAAAAAACAUUUCGAUCACUUGAAUCUAACCUCCCGCGUCUAAUCAAGCCAGAAGGCCAGCUUUUUUUUCACUGACCCUUCAACGUGAACCUUCUGAGAACUUAUCUCAAGGGAAACUUUUAGUGGUUCAGUAGAAUUUUUUUUAAUCCUCUUACAUGUUUCAUUCGUAUCUCCUACUUCAUGUCCGUGCAUUGUUGAAUUCUGAAGUGCAGGUCUUCUUUCGCCCGUAUUGUUAACCUUCUUUUUCAUGUUCAUUGAAGCACAGCAUUCUUUUUUCAGGUUUGAAAUUUUUUUUUUAAAUUGGACUAGCUGCUGGACUGAGCUUUUUAAAGUUUUUUGCAGAUGUGCGUCAGCCCGGCAGCCAGCGAAUUAAGAAAAAAAAAAAUUUUUUUGAGGCCCGGCAGCGUUUAAAAAAAAAAAACUAUUGCUACCGGGCAAGCUUUAAAAAAAAAAAAAAAAAAACCCUAACAGCAAUAUUUUUAUACAUGCCCAUUGUCAGAACCAUAUAUGUCCAAUUUUUUUUUCAUCGAUAUUCUGAGUAAUUAGCUGAGAUAGAGAGGAGUAUUAGAAAUUUGUUUUCUAGAUUCUUUGGUCUCCCAAUUUUUUCAACGGGUCAACUCCGAUCAUUAUUAUCACAGUCAUGUGAUUGUAGGUCUACCACGCUUCAUAGUCCACAACGUGGAUUGGCACCACAAAGGAUGGUUUCAAAACACCAUUUUAGUCUAGUAAGGAUUGUGUAUAUAACACAAGUCUUUUUAGGUUUUCCCUCCCCUGUAAUCUAAAAUAAAAUAAAAUAGGUUAUACAAUUGUUAUAGUCUUCAGAAAAAAAGGAUAGGUCCCACCCUAUUAUUAUUAUUUUUCUUUUAUAAAUCAACAACGCCUAUUCUACACCUAUUUCAACUUCUAUUCUAGGGGAACGGGAGGUUCAACUGAAAAAUUAAUGGUGAUUGAACCACGAACGGACCAAAAACUUUCAAGAUAAAAUUUGAUCUAAAAAAUAAAUAAUAAUAUAUUAACUUAUUAUUUAAUGCGAUACAUAUUCAAAUAUAUUAAAUUUAAUAAUUUAAUAAAUUUUAAAUUUUACAUUUUAAAUUUUAAUUUUCAACCUUCAAUGUUGCCGUACUUACAACAACAACUUCUAGAUGGUCAACACUUAGAGUCGUAGCCCUUGCUUUUGGCAUACCCUAGUCCCUAUUUCUGUUGUUAUCAAUGAGGAAGCAAAUGUCUGCUAUUAAUUACACGAGACAUCAGUAGGUUUGUUUGGAUUGGAGGUUAUUUGAAAUAUUUUUUUGAGAUAAUUAAUGUAGUACUUUUUGUGAUGUAAUGUAUAUAAGAUAAAAUUGUGAUUGGAAAUUGUGUGGAUGCAAAACAAAAUUUUGAAAUUUUUUUUUGAAAACCUUAAUAUUAUUGGCUGCACUACAAAUCAGUCAAAACUCAAGAGAUGAUAUUAAUUGAAACAAGUGGGCAAAUUGAACGAGGAUGCGUAAUUGACAUGGAAGUCUUGGUAGACUUGGAGGUAGGCUUGUCAACGGAUUGGGUCUGGGUCGGAAUUCAUUAUUCUGGACCCGGAUCCGACAUACUAUAUUGGACUCGGAUUCGACCCAUUUAUUCGACGGGCCUUCUACUCUAUAUUCUGAAUCCGGAUCCGACGGGUCUCGGAUUCGGGUCGAGUCUACCCGAAAAAAUCUAUCAAAACUUACAAAUUCUAAUAAAAAUGAGAAAAAAAUAUAUUUGUAAACCAAUUUUUAACUAAUAAAAAAAAUCAAAUAAGAAAAAAAAUCAAAUUGACUUUACUCAAAUACAUCACCCUAAUCAAAUUAUAUUGAUAAAUAUAUAUAUAUUUAAAUUGUUAAUCCAUUUAUAUCCGAAUCCGGGUCUAAUACGGGUCGAAAUAUUAUAUUCCGUAUUCGACCCGUUUUUUGUUUGAUAAAACGGAUCCGGAUCCGGGGUCCGAGUAAUGGAAUUAAAUCCCUACUCGUACCCACAAUAAUUUGACGGAUUCGAUCCGGAUCCGGAUCUAGACUCGAACUGUUGACAGGCCUACUUGGAGGGAUCAACAUUUGAAUCUGACUUGGAUGAGGUAAGCACAAAGGUAAGCAUUUUCCAUUUUUAUUUUGGUUUUCAUUUCUUGUAUACUUUAAAACGUUUUUCAUUCUACCUCACUCACAUAUAAUAUAUAAUGAAAUGUAAAUUUUUUAUGAAAACAUAUAAAAUAUAUAAAAUGAAAAAUAAAUUUUUUAUAAAAACAUAUGUUUAUAUUUUUCUUUGUAUAAUGAAAAUUUAUAAUUCAUUCUACCAAUAUAUACGCAUAUAUAUAUAUAUAUAUAUAUGUAUAAUGAAAAAUAAAUUUCUUCUUCAUCUUUAGGGCUGCACCUACAAACAACAAAACUCAGCUCCACUCAACUCUUUCCUUCAUGUUUUUUUAUAAAAAACAUAUAUAUAUAUAUAUAUAUAUAUAUAUAUAUAUAUAUAUAUAUUAAGUUACACUAAUUGUUUUAUCUCUUAAUAAUUUUUAUUUUUUUUACUAAUAUUACCUCAUGAGAGGCAAAAAGGGUAUAAAUGGAACAAAAUUAUUAUCUCAUUUUCCAAAAGAAUUUUUUAAUGGUACUUUUUCUAACAUGGGUUGAAGCUACUAUCAAAAUCUAGUUUAGGGAAAGUUAGUGCUAUUUUUUAAAUUUUAGGGUAGAUGAGUACAACUGUUAGAAACCUCAAAAAGGGAUGGUUUCUGCAAUUAUCCCUAAAAGCAUAGACCAAGACUACACUAAACACUAAAAAUUUGACACCUAUUUCUUAUAACUAUACUAGAUAAUCUCAUAAUUAUAUAGAAAAAUAAAUCAAAAUUCAUUACACAAAAGCAUUUUUGGAUAUUUAUUUAAGAAUUUGAUCAAAUUAAUAUUAUUUUAAAGUUUUAUUACAAAAACUAUCAAAUUAAAGGAGGUAGGGGUAAUGUUUCAAACCUCACAGUGAAAUUGUUAGAAACCUCAAAGAGGUUCUUGAUAUUAUCCCUAAUUUUUUUGGGUACAAAAACCUCCAAAAAAGUGGCAGUUCAAACGGGGCCAACAUUCUCCUAUCAUCACAAGUCCUCCCGCUGACCCACUAGCCGCCGGCGGCCCUGGGUCAUCUAUUAAAGGCUUAAAGCAUAGACCAAGACUGCAGUAAUCCCUCAUAUACACAUGUUAACUAGAGGGGUCAAUCACAACCCAAUUAUAUUGAUCUGUUCAAACCCGUUCACUAAUAAUCCUUUCAAAUUCGCCCAUUAAAAUUUAAAUGGGUCUAAGUGAGUACCUAAUUAAACCCAUUUAAUUGAUGGAUAGUUGAUUGAUUCAACUCACCCAUUUAUACCCAUUUAAAAAUAAAUAUAUGACAGGGUGUCGAGCCUGUGCAAUAAUAAUUAUCUACUCAAGAAAAACACAAAUUCUGUAUAUAGCAGUGAGUAGAGUCGAAUCCACACGGACUGUAGAUAAUUCGUUUCUUUUAGAGUCCAAAGUAUGGGGGGUUUUGGAGAAUAUAAAAUAACUAAUUAACUAACUAAUAAAACAACUAAUAGAAAUAAAUAGAAAUUAAUCAAUAACCAAUAUGACUCUAGCCAAAGGUGCAACUUUUCAGACACGGUCCAUUCAACUGAUCAUCGAUGCAAAGAUAAUUCAAUUACUCAUUACUAGAUUGGUUAUAAUUGUCAUACACGCGAUGAACAACCAGCCUUUUCUUAAUUUCUCGAUAGUUAAAGUACGACCGUUAACUAUUUCUCUAACCAAGUAAUAACCCUAGGUACGACCAUAGGAUUUAAUUACUCGAUUACAUUAAUAAUUAGAAAAACCCAACCCUAACCAACAAACACGCUACGAGGGUUUGUUUAAAUUAGAUCAUACGUUUCCCUAACAUGAAACCAAUCACGCUAGUCGCCACUGGUAUUAAUCAAUUGAACAAUUACGGAUUCAAUCAAUUAAUUUAGCAUUAGAUCAUUAAGUUAAUUUGAAUAUCGGGCCCUUGACAUUCAAAUAACAUAACAAACAUAAGCAAUUAAAUCAGGAAACGUAAAAAUACCAAUGAAUAAAAGAAAUAAAUAAAAUUAAUUCGAUCUCACAGAUAUUUGGAACCGCGCCUUCAAAUUGGCCUUCGACUAGAUGAAAGGUUUAGUUCAUCUACAUGGAGGAAACCCCAUGUGAAAUUGCAGAAGUAAUUAUUCUAAAACAAAGCUAUGUUUUCGUCCUCCAUUGAAGAAAACGGCAAAGCUAUAUAUAAAGUAAUGAAUACGAAGGAACUACCUAGAAGCAAAAACAAAACGAAGCUCUCCUAUUCUAAAACAAAAACUACUUGUCUAGUGGUCCCCGCCGAAUUUAGAUAAAAGGGUGCAAUCCGUCAGAUCAAGCUUUGCCGACUUUUUCUCCUCUUUGUUGCCUAUUGCUAGGCAAAGACUUCAGUGCCCAGACCAUUCCUAAUCAGUGAAAAGAAAAUGCACUCCCUCUGCCGCACUCUGUGGGCCAGGUUGUUGAAGCUCUUUGGAGUCUCCUAUGUGUGGAGCUGUUUUAUCCUUCAGAUGGUCUCGCUCUUUUUUUUCUUUUUAUUUUCUUUUGUGUACUUUUCUGCUCCAUUCCUGAAAUGAGAUCCAAAUACCAAAUAUAAAUAUAUAUUAACAAUUAAACAAUAUUUAGUAAGGACAGAGGGGAAAUUAAUAAUAAAAUAAUCAAUAAUUAACACCCUAUCAAUUCCCCCCACACCUAAAUCAUACUUGCCCUCAAGCAUGGGGACGACAAAUAACACCAAAAUUUGAAAAUGGGUAUUGCCCCAUCUACCCUAUUGUCAAGAUACCAAGGAAAACAUCUAUCAAGCAUCAGUGAUCAGGGUUCAAGAAACAUCACCCCAAUUAGCUUCUAAACCACAAACUCCUCCAAUUUAAGACAAACUAAUCUAAGAAAAAGGAAUGGUUGCUCACAUUUAUCAACAAAUGGUCCAACUAUUAACUAAAAUCUCGAUAUUAAGAUCACAAACCGGCAAGCUGACUUAUUCACAUACUAACACAAUCUUUACUUUACUUCUUUUUUUUUUUUUUUUGAAUAACAAAAGACUUAGUCUAUAGCCCUUAGAGCCUUUUGACGCGAACUCCAACAUUUGCCAGAUGGAGAAGCCCGGUUUCUCAGCUCCAAUCGCUACGGGACCACGCACUCAUAGUAACUACUACCUUUUGAGGCGAAAAUCGACACUUUAGGUCAAGAUCCCCGAUCACUCAGUAGUAACCACUAGCGGAGUACAGUCAACUCUUAUUUACAACCAUAUAGCACGAUAACUAAAAAUAACAGCAGGCAGCCUCAAAUUUCCAAACAUGGAGAACUAAAAUUAAUAACUGGACCAAUUCACAUGAAAAAUGCCAACAAUCAUUCCCUAUGCCUAGAAAAGUUAACCAAAAAUUAGAAAAGUCAAGCAAUUACUGAUAUUCACAUGAAAAGUCAAGCAGAAGUAAGCAAAAGAGCAACUGUACUUCCCUGAAAUCACGGGGGGCAUGGCGGGGCCACAGCAGUGGGUGAGGCCGGAAAUGGUUGAUUUGGGUUGGGGUAGGCUAAGGUCGAGAGGUUCCGGACCUAGAAGAGGACUUUGAUCUCACCAUCGUCGCUAACAGGUAACCCAAUCAACAGAAACAAAAUUGCCAACAGAUAGAGGAACAAGUAAAUCUAGAUCAAUAGAAAUCAAUAUCCUCAAGUGAAGUCAACAAUCAACCCAAUAAGCACAGGUAUCUUCCAAUUUAAAAGGGUAGUGCACAAUAAAUGGCCCACCAAAUUUGCAAUGUAAAGCCCUGAGCAAUUCAAUCAAUACCAGAAAAUCGCCCCAAACAAUGUAACAGUUAAACUCCAUGGGCCAUGGACGUCCAACCAAUUUCACUCGAACAAACUAUGAGCAGUGCGAGUGACGAAACAAAGCAACAAAUUUCAGCAAUUAGACACAAUUCCACUCAAAAUCUCAACAAAUAUCUCCAAUGGACAGUCUUACACAACUUAACCAACUGGAAUUAGCAAAUAUCCCCAAGAAACUGACAAAACAAGCAAUAGUAGUUCAAAAUUUGGACUACAACUAAAUCAAAAUGUUGUUUCAGUUUUCAAUCAGGUAGCCAACCAAGUAGAAUCAAUAAAUGUAGACAAAAUACCCCAACCAGUACCACUGGUGUAUUCCACAGAAAAGAAUUAAUUCAAAUGCCAAUCCAAACGACUGAGAAACCCUAACCAAGACCAAACCGUACCAGAAAUUAGAAGAAAUGAAAAUGGGAAUCAAUUGGCAAGCAACUCCCAAAUCAACCCCAAAGAACUCCCAAAUAAAUGAAUUAUCAGAGGUGCCUUCAAAAACCAAAUACCAAAAAUGCAUAAAAACUCCCAACCAAUUCAACGGGAAAAACAAAAUUAAGCAAAUCACCUCCUGUGUUUAUCCAUCAAGGAACCCAAAAGCACAAAUUCCAGUAACUGAGGAUUCAGGAAAAAUGCCAAAACAAGGGUAGAAAGUUAAUACCUCCACCUGUCAAUUUUGACAGGUAGUGAUGCGCGGCAAGGAGGUGGCGCACGAGGUGGUGGCCGCGAGCUUUGGAAGAUGAGUUGGCGAUAGAGGCUGUCAGCUACGCGUGCGACUGUGCGCACAAUGGGAGGAGAGAGGCGCGGCGAGCUGGUGGACAGCAGCAGCGGCACGGGCUGGUGGCAGUGGCUGUGGAGCGUGGGCAGGCGGCGGUGCGCAGCUGGUCAACGAAGGAGGAGAUGGGCGGCGCUCGGGCUAAGGAGAGAGUGAUUUGGGGGCUGUGGCGGCGUGGGGUGGAGUUGCGGCGGCGGUCAAAGGCACUGGUGAGUGGAGGUGGCGGGGAUGGAGCUUGGAACGGAGGAGCUCAGCGAGCUGUGGGUGGACGGCCGUGGGCAGGGGAGCAGCGGCGGCCUUUGGAGCUGCUGAAGGUGGUCCGUGAGGUGGAGCUUGGAGCUCGGAGGCGGCGGCGAUGGAAGCUAGUCAGCGGCGUGCGGCAAUGGAUGAGAAAGGGAGACUGGUGGCGUCGGGCUAAGGAGAGAGUAAGGGAGAUGAUGGCGGAUGAGCGAAAGAAAAGAAGGAAAGGGAUACAGGGCAGCGAGGAAGAAGAGGAAGAAAAGGGAAAGAAAGGAAAGAAAAAAGAGAAGAAAAAGGAAAAAGAAAAGAGAGAAAGAAAAAAAGAAAAUAAAAUGGUUUUGGGGUUUUUUUUUCAAUAUUUUUUUUUCAAUUUUUUCCCUAAUUUAAAUUUUCAAAAUUUGAAUUUUUGAAGAAAAAGAAAGAAAGAAAAAUGCUCUUUGAAUUUUUGAAUUUUCUCAAUGUGAAAUUUUAAAUUUUUUUUUGGUUUUGGAUCGUCAAACACCGCGUGAGCACGCCAAGAUUACACUUCCUGGUCACAGUAGAGGAAAAUAUUAAGACCGACUACCACCCAAAUGAGAAAUGACAAAAUGAAAGUAAUGAACAAUGAAAAACGAUAAAACUAAUAUUUGGGUUGCCUCCCAAAAAGCGCCUUUCUUUUAUGUCUUUGGCCAGACAUUGCCAUAUUUGUUUAGGGAGGAUAAAAUCUUGUACCUCGGUUUAAUGUUUCAUCCUCUAUAUAGUCCUGAUAACCCUCGUAAAUAGAGUAAUUCUUGAACACAUGAGCUACGGUCUUCCCUGGACUAGUAAAUGGUGCCAAACAAGUCAACAAUAAGUUGAAUUUUCCAUUCACUCCUCCAUCACUUGCAUUUAUUGGUUUAAGAUAUCUUGCCAUCGCCACUCUUAAUUUAUUUCUGUCAUGAAAUUCGAAAUUUUCUGAUAUAAUAAAAUCAAUUUCAUUAACAGGAAUUGAAGAAUAAGAGUUAGAAGAAUAUUGAUGAAGGAAUGGAUGCGAUGUCACCGCAUUUGAAGAUUGUUCACUGGUUUCAUUCACUUGAACGAGUUGAUACUGGGGCAUUAUUUCUUGCACUUCACCUUUUUUUUCAACUGCAUCUUUAGAUCCGUUUUCUUGAAACUCUUGCAGUUCCAUGUCAUUUGACGGGAUAACUGCACUCUCAUCCUCUUCAAGGUUGAUAUUGGUUUGUGAGGGCAAUUCUUCAAGGUGAGAAGCUAAUCGCUCUAUCCUGGAUGUCAAUUGAUUCAUUUGAUCCGCCGGAUCCCUAAUGCUCGCUUGUGUCUCCUGAUGAAAUCGAUAUGUAUUAGUAGCAAAUAAUUCAAUCAAUUCCUGAAGAGACAUACCUGACAUGGAUGAUGGCUGUUGAGAUUCUUGCUGUUGAAAAUCCAUUGGCCCGGUCGCAUAAUUAAAAUUGGAAUCAUCCCACCAUCCUUGAUCAUACCCGUUUGAAUAAGGAUCGUACCACGUUUGAAAUCGAGGUGAAAAAUCUCCAAAAGUAUCAAUUGGAGCACUUAGAUUAUCUUGAAAUGCGGGGCAUGUGUCGGUUGAGUAACCUGAGUCAAAAUAAGUUCCACAAUUUGCAACAGUCCAUUGACCAUUAGGAAAAACUCGAGUCUCAUAACCUCAUUCGGGAAUAAAGUCCAGUCUAUCAUCAAAAUAUGGAAUGUUAGCUACCAUAAACUAUAUAUAACAAAAAAGAGAAAAAAAAAAAACAAGAUGAACUAAAAAAAAACAAAUUAAUUAGGCACCAGUCCCCGGCAAUGGCGCCAAAAAUUGACAGGGUGUCGAGCCUGUGCAAUAAUAAUUACCUACUCAAGAAAAACAUAAAUUCUGUAUAUAGCGGUGAGCAGGGUCGAAUCCACAGGGAUUGGAGAUAAUUCGUUUCUUUUAGAGUCCAAAGUAUGGGGGGGGAGUUUUUUGGAGAAUAUAAAAUAACUAAUUAACUAACUAAUAAAACAACUAAUAGAAAUAAAUAGAAAUUAAUCAAUUACCAAUAUGACUCUAGUCAAAAGUGCAACUUUUCAGAUACGGUCCAUUCAACUGAUCAUCGAUGCAAAGAUAAUUCAAUUACUCAUUACUAGAUUGGUUAUAGUUGUCAUACACGUGAUGAACAACCAGCCUUUUCUUAAUUUCUCGAUAGUUAAGGUACGACCGUUAACUAUUUUUCUAACCAAGUAAUAACCCUAGGUACGACCAUAGGAUUUAAUUACUCGAUUGCGUUAAUAAUUAGAAAAGCCCAACUCUAACCAACAAACACGCUACGAGGGUUUGUUUAAGUUAGAUCAUACGUUUCCCUAACAUGAAACCAAUCACGCUAGUCGCCACUGGUAUUAAUCAAUUGAACAAUUACGGAUUCAAUCAAUUAAUUUAGAAUUAGAUCAUUAAGUUAAUUCGAAUAUCGGGCCCUUGACAUUCAAAUAACAUAACAAACAUAAGCAAUUAAAUCAGGAAACGUACAAAUACCAAUGAAUAAAAGAAAUAAAUAAAAUUAAUUCGAUCUCACAGAUAUUUGGAACCGCGUCUUCAAAUUGACUUUCGACUAGAUAAAAGGCUUAGUUCAUCUACAUGGAGGAAACUCCAUGCGAAAUUGUAUAAGUAAUUAUUCUAAACAAAGCUAUGUUUUCGUCCUCCAUAGAAGAAAACGGCAAAGCUAUAUAUAAAGUAAUGAAUACGAAGGAACUACCUAGAAGCAAAAACAAAACGAAGCUCUCCUAUUCUAAAACAAAAACUACUUGUCUAGUGGUCCCCGCCGAAUUUAGAUAAAAAGGUGCAAUCUGUCAGAUCAAGCUCUGCCGACUUUUUCUCCUCUUAGUUGCCUAUUGCUAGGCAAAGACUUCAGUGCCCAGACCAUUCCUAAUCAGUGGAAAGAAAAUGCACUCCCUCUGCUGCACUCUGUGGGCUAGGUUGUUGAAGCUCUUUGGAGUCUCCCAUGUGUGGAGCUGUUUUAUCCUUCAGAUGGUCUCCCUCUUUUUUUUCUUUUUAUUUUCUUUUGUAUACUUUUCUGCUCCAUUCCUGAAAUGAGAUUCAAAUACUAAAUAUAAAUAUAUAUUAACAAUUAAACAAUAUUUAGUAAGGAUAGAGAGAAAAUUAAUAAUAAAAUAAUCAAUAAUUAACACCCUAUCAAUAUACAUUUAAGCUCAAUUUUUACUAAGUGUUAAGAUGAUAAAUUUGAAUUUCCUAUGACUCUAAUAACAAUAAAAUAUCAUUUUUCUUGUCAAACAACAUGCAAAAAACAAAAAAAGGUAGAAUUUCAAAUUAAUCAUAAAUGGGUAAUUGAGUAUUCUCAUGUCUAUUUGUUAAAUUGAUAUAAAUGAAUUGAUUCAAUUAUAACUAUUACUCAACUAGAAUCCGCUCAAACCCGUUUAAGUUAAUCAUUUUGACACCCCUAAUGUUAAUAUAUAUUGACAAGUGAAAAGUGCAGCAUUUAUCACGAAGAUAUACUUAUUUAUUUUAAUAUUAAAGUCAUUUUUUCAUUACAAAAAUAUUGAUAAUUUCAUAAUUUCAUGGAAGUAUGUAACCAGUGACAUAACAUAGUCGCCAGUGGCGAAUCUUGUCACGAGCCUUCUUUUCAACGCUUUGAUUAUGGCAUACACCUUUAACAAUAUGCCCCCACGUUGUCUUUCGAUCACUUUUUUUUUUUUUUUUAACCUCACAUUCGUUCGUUAUGUAUGUAUAAUUUCUUUACAAAAAAGUGAAAAACUCCAAAAACGUGGCAGCUCAAACGGGGCCAACAAUCUACUAUGUUCGCCUGUUCUCCCGCCGGACCCACCAGCCGCCGGCGGCCAUGGGUCAUCUAUAAAAGCAUAGAUCAAGACUACACUAAUCCCUCAUCAGUCCAAUCCAUCCAUACUUCUUCUUCAGGCCUCAGCUACUAAACAAUAAACUCUGCUCCACUCAAUUCUUUCCUCUGUUUCUUGUGGUUUUUGUCUGAAAAUGGCGGCAUCAGAAGAAGUGAAAGUGCCAAGAAUCAAGCUGGGGUCGCAAGGUUUUGAAGUUUCAGCUCAAGGGCUGGGCUGCAUGGGCAUGUCAGCCUUCUACGGGCCGCCAAAGCCCGAGCCUGAUAUGAUCAAACUCAUUCACCAUGCUAUUAGCAGAGGCAUCACCCAUCUUGACACCUCCGAUAUGUAUGGACCUCACACCAACGAAAUACUCAUUGGCAAGGUACCGUAUUUGCAAAUUUUCUGCUGUUGUGUGCUAUGCAUAAACUCUUGUACUUCUAAUUUCUAAAAGAGCAUAUUUGUAAGUAUUUUAUUUGGGUAUAUUAUAUUUAACCCCCUGCACUUGAAAUCUUGUCUCCCUUUGUGCCCCCUUAAUUUUGUUUGUCAGCACUUAAACUCCAUCUGUUUAAAUUAUAAGUAUUAUUAGUCAAAUAAGACAAUAAUAUUCUUCAUUUCUUCUUCUUCUUCUUCUUCUUCUUCAUUUUUUCAGAUGUUUGUCCUCAAUUGUAAGAGAAGGUCGUAGGUCUAGCACAUACGUUGAGUAGCUGUAUCCGAUUAGAAGGAUUUAGAUCAUAAUGGAGUUGGUAAAAUAGUACUAUUUUCGUCUUUGAAGUUAAAAUUGUCAUCAAUUUAUGGAAAGUUUACUAUUUCUCUGAUAAGAGAUGGUAAAAUUUACUUUUUACGAGUACUAAAGUUUUAAAGAUUAUGAAAAGAGAAUUGUACGAAUGAAUAUAAGGGAAAAGAAAGGUAAGAACAUAAAUAGAUUGUGUUUGGAUUGAUUUUGGGAGGGGCAAGGAGAGGAAAGGGAAAGAAAAGGAAAUGGAUGGAUUGUGUUUUGCUCAGACAUCAUUUCCAUACAAAAGUAGACGGAAACAGAGGGAAAGAAAAUCUAGUUGAUGAUUUUCUUAUAAAAUGCCUCAAGCACCCAAAUUUUACAUAAACUUGAGUAACCAUGUGUUUCAUAUCUGUAGAACUUGCCAUUUGUGAAACCUGCUUUAGAUAUGAAUUGUGGGAUGCAACAGCAGGCUAGGAAUGUUUGACUAAGCAACUUAUGUAAAUAUUUUAUCGUUAAGUGAAGUUCCUCUUUUGCUGUUUAAAAAAAAAAAAAAAAAAGAGAGAGAAAAACCAUUCCUUUAAUGUCUGUCAUUCUACCAAACAGCAGAUUUAGGAUUUCUUUUUUUCCCAUCCAUAUCUAAUCCAAAUAAGGCAAAUGAGAACUAUUUUCCACUACUCUCCUUUCCUUUCUUUUUCACUAGGAUGUUUUAUUUAUUCUUUCCUUUGAUCCUAAUGGUUCCUAAAAGGGCACUAAUUAUUCUACAUUGAUCGUUCCCCAUAUUUGUAUUAAUGUGCAUGUUCACGAUUCUGUGUACGUUCAUGUUGUGCAUCAAAUCUUGUGAAUGUCAAAGCUAAGAUUGUAAAUUUAAGUUGAAGAAACAUAAAAGAAAAAAGAAAAUGGAUUGGCUCCUUUAAGAGUAUCAGACUUCUAAACCCCAAGGAUUACAUAAUUUUCAUAUCCUUUGCUAUACAAAGAAGUGGCAUAGCCUUAACAAUGAAGUGCUGGAAAAACUCCAGAAGGACUGUGCCAUCCAUGAAAUCACAAUUCCGCUUGCUAUACCAUGCAUUAAUGUGUAUGCCCUUGAUGAUUAAUAUAAUGAAAUCAUGGUUCUAGGCCUUGAAGGAAGGAAUAAGAGCGAAAGUGGAGCUAGCAACAAAAUUUGCAAUCAGUUAUCAGGAUGGGAAAUUUGAUGUACGUGGUGAUCCAGCCUAUGUGAGGGCUUGUUGUGAAGCGAGUUUGAAGCGGCUUGAUGUGGACUGCAUUGAUCUCUAUUAUCAACAUCGCAUUGAUACACGUGUGCCCAUUGAAGUCACGGUUUGCUCGUCUUGCCUUUCUUGUAUUUUAGCUCCACCUCAUUCUUGAUGAAACAAAAGUUUGAUCAACUCCAAAUUUCGAAUAAUUCAGUUUCAUGUGCGUUUCAAUUCUUCAAAAAUUGCACAGAAAAGUUAGUCAACCUUAUGGUCUAGGCUAAUCUGCAGUAUGCUAAAUCUUAUUUAGCACCAGGCACCCUGAAAAGUGAAAACAAUGAAAAUGUCUUAUAUUAGCUUGGCAGUCCUGCUGAGGGAUAUACAGGUGGAUAUCAUGCUAUACAUUGUACAGCUUUCCUUUAGAAGCAAGAGACCUGAGCAUUCUCUUUCAUUUGAGAUAGGCUAUCCAGUUGAGUAAUGAUAUGCUAUUUACUUACCUUGUCAUUCGUUUUCAGUCGGUGCCAAAAGCACUGCAGAUAGAAGUUUUUUAGUCAAUAUCUAAAAAACGUGGUACUCAUUUUGUUCAGAGUAUAGCUUUUUGUCUAAUUGUGAAAGCCAGCUGCGACUACCCCGUUGACCUCUCUAAGCAAUUCAAAGAUUGCAGCUGCUUGCUUACAUUCAGCUUUUAUGAAAACAAUUUCUGUCUUCUUUUUCUAAUAUAGUCAGCAAAGAAUUGUCUUGUUUUUCCUGAGUAUUAGGAAGAAACUUUCUUGCAGUUUAAUCACUCAAAAUACAGGCAAGUAUAAAGGAAAUCAAGGAAAUCGACAACUGAUAAUUGAUAUGUGCAGCCAUUAUUAUAUCUAGACGAAGUCAACAAUGUCGUGUAAUCAUAUUGGAGGAGCAUUAUGUUGGCAUGGUCCAAUAGAGCUAAGUCAUCCGGUGGGCUGUACAUAGAGAAGUAUCACUGGAUGCUUAUUGCCAUUUUUGUCAAUUAUUGAUUUCAGUUUGACGUAUAAUUUGUCCACGACUUCAUUGAACUAGUCCAACUUUUACUUUUUUGCACGUAAUAUUUCGAUUAUCUGCCUAAGUAUUGAAUGUAAUAAAUCAGCUUUGCAUUUUCUUGUCCAUUGAAAUUCUCUAGAUAGGAGAGCUCAAGAAACUGGUUGAAGAGGGUAAAAUAAAGUAUAUAGGUCUGUCUGAGGCCUCAGCUUCAACAAUUCGAAGAGCACAUGCUGUUCAUCCAAUAACAGCGGUACAGUUGGAGUGGUCAUUGUGGGCCAGAGAUGUCGAGGAAGAGAUUAUUCCCACUUGCAGGUAGUGCAUAUAUUCUGCUGCAUUUUCUACGUGGUCUAGAAGAAAUAUGAAGUUCUUAAUUCAGUUUUUGGUAUAAUCUUUCAGAGAGCUUGGAAUAGGGAUUGUUGCAUACAGUCCACUUGGAAGAGGAUUCUUCUCUUCAGGUCCAAAGCUGGUCGAGAAUUUGGCUGAAGGUGACUGCCGAAAGGUUUGUGCAUAUCCAAAACUAUGAAGUUUUUGAGUAUAGAUUGUUUAUAGUUCGAAUAAGUUUCUCACUCAUCUACUUUUACCACUUCAGUGACAAUCUUGCUUGAUAUCCCUAUUCUUGUCUAUCUGUCAUAUGUUGCUGCACUUUUUGAUGUCCAAUAAUUUGAUUAAGCCUUAUAAUAUGAUCACAUUUAAUCAAAUUUCUAUUAAGCAGAGCAAAUCAACAGGCUUUUUUUUUUCCUGUCGAACAAGUCUUGAGGUCUUUAGUUGAUUAAAUGAAUGCAGAUUUUGGUGUCCUCUGUAUUUAGUUCAAAUUAAAAGAUAUAGCGCUAGCUUUGUCAAAUUUUAGAUCUUAUAUUAAUUGAAGGUUGUUAUUGCAUGCUGGAGAUUUAUAUAGUGGACAACAAUCACAAGCAAUCGAUAGUAUCGAAUUUUAAAGUGCAAAGAUGUCGCAAGACAUCAAAACAGGAAGAAACUAUGUCACUUUUUAUGUAAAAGUCUCUUUUCAGUUUUGAGGGGAAAUGGACCUUGGACUUCAAUUUCAUCAUUUAGUCUCAGGCACAGAAUUUCAUCAUUUUGUCCUGUGAAACUAUCAUUUUUCCUUUACCAUUAAUCCUAAAACUGAGUUUCAUUGGUCAGAAGUGUACUUCUUAGUACAAACAUUAGUUGAUAUGCAUUUUAAGGUUCCCCUUUGAUGGGAAAUGUAUCUCAGAACUUAACUCCAACAGUUGAUGUUUCCUACUUGGAUUAUUCAGUCCACCUUGAUGCAUUGUUCUUUGCCCUGAACUUGUGUCCUUCAAACAAUAUUGCUGAUCAUCUUGAAGUAAUGUACCGUUUGUUCAUUUCUCCCUUCUGAUUUCUUGCAUUAUAGUUUCCUCUUUAAUGGGAAAUGUAUCUCAUGAUCUACCUUCUACAAUUAAUGUUUCUUAAGAGUACUCAGUCCACCUUACUGGAUUGUUCCUUCCCCUGAACUUUUUACACCUUAAACAAUACUAUCAAUCAUCUUGAAGUUAUUCAUAUUGUCUUCAUACCUAUCACCCUUUACAGUUGCUUGAAUUUUUGAAAUUCAUACAAUGUAGGAUAUGCCAAGGUUUCAAGCAGAGAAUUUGGAGCACAACAAGAAGUUGUAUGAGCGGGCCAAUGCCAUUGCUUCAAGGAAGGGUUGUACUCCAUCACAGCUAGCAUUGGCCUGGGUCCAUCACCAAGGCAAUGAUGUUUGCCCCAUACCUGGCACUACCAAGAUUGAGAACCUCAAUCAGAAUAUAGGAGCUUUGUCUGUAAAACUGUCAGCCGAGGAAAUGGCGGAACUUGAAUCUAUUGCUUCUGCGGGAGUCAAGGGUGAUAGGUAUGCGCCUGGCCUUGGUACUUGGCAAACUUCUGAAACUCCGCCUUUGUCAACCUGGAAGCGGACAUGAAGACAUACCUUUGUUAUGGCAAUAAUUCCUUCUAGCUAUGUGCCUGAUGGUGGAUUUCACUAUAUUGAGAGUUGAGUGAUAUGUAAUUGUUCCAAUAAAUUUUGACAUACUAUUGUCUCUAGGGCUAUGGCACGUAAAGUUAUAAGUAGAAUGGAUGGAGUUUCUUCAGAGAGGUUGUAAUAAAUAAAGAUCUGGUCAUGUAAAAGCUGAAUAUAAUUUUCCUUGCAGUUGAAUGCAUUAAGAGUUAUAUAUUGUACUUUUGAAUGCUAAAGUGGUCCAUUUUUUAUGUGCUACUGCUACGAGAGUUAUAGAUUGUUGAACAGCAUUCAAUUCUGGACUUAUUAAACAUAAGCAUAUAAACAUUUUAUUCUCGGAAUAUUUACAUCAAAAGAAACUCCAAGGUCACAUCAUUGUAAAGUGUAAACUAUAUCAUAUUAAUAAAAAGCAAAAAAAAUGUCUAAAUGAGGAAAAAAAAUGUACUAUAGAAGAAGUCAACAAUGUCAUGUAAUCAUUUUAUCCUAAAAUUGAGAUUCAAAUUUAGUUGAUUUGUAUUUUGAGUUUCCUCUUUGAUGGGAAAUGUAUCUCAGAACUUUAACUCCAACAGUUGAUGUUUCCUACUUGGAGUACUCAGUCCACCUUGAUGCAUUGAUCUUUCCCCUGAACUUGUGCCCGUCAAACAAUAUUUCUGAUCAUCUUGAAGUAAUUAGUACCAUCUGUUCAUUACUCCCUUCUGAUUUCUUGCAUUAUAGUUUCCUCUUUAAUGGGAAAUGUAUAUCAAGAUCUACCUUCUACAAUUGAGAUUUCUUAGAGUACUCAGUCCACCUUACCAGAUUGUUCUUUUUCCUGAACUUUGUUCACUUCAAACAAUACUAUGAUCAUCUUGAAGUUAUUCGUAUUGUUGUCUUUUGUGGACGACACAUGCUUUACUGCCUUUUUGAAUUUCUGCAUUGCAGUUGCUUAAAUUUUGAAAUUCAUACAAUUUAGAAUAUGCCAAGGUUUCAAGUAGAGAAUUUGGAGCACAACAAGAAGUUGUAUGAGCGGGUCAAUGCCAUUGCUUCAAGGAAGAGUUGUACUCCAUCACAGCAAGCGUUGGCCUGGGUCCAUGCCAAGGCAAUGAUGUUUGUCCCAUAACUAGCACUACCAAGAUUGGAAACCUCAAUCAGAAUAUAGGAGCUUUGUCUGUAAAACUGUCAGCAGAAGAUAUGGCUGAACUUGAAUCUAUUGUAUCAGCUGGAGUCAAGGGUGAUAGAUAUGAUCCUGGCCGUGGUACUUGGCGAACUCCUGAAACUCAACCUUUGUCAACUUAGAAGACUACAUGAAAACAUACCUUUGUUGAGGUAUUAAUUCCUUCUAGCAUUCUACCUGUUGGUGAUUUCACUGUAUUGAGAGUUGAGCGAGUUGUAUUUGAUCCAAAAACUUUGUCAUACUAUUGUCUCGAGGGUUAAGACAUGUAAAGUUUUAAGAAGAAUGGUGUUUCUUUAGAGUGCUUGUAAUGAAUAAAGAUCUGGUCAUGUAAAAGUAGAACACAACAUACCAACAAUGUCAUUGUAAACUACAUCAUACCAACAAAAAAGUAGAAAAUGGUCUAAAGUGAAUCAGAAAUCAACAAAAACUAUGUAAGCACCAAUGGAAAGCAGAAAAGUUCUUGAUACCAUAGUAAACACCAAUGGAAAGCUAAAAAGUUCUCGACGCCAUAGAAAUUAGGGAUUCGUUGGGCAAAAAAGUUCUUAACACCAUACUCUAUAGACGUAGGGGAUCCAGGUUUGGGCAUCUAGCUAAGUGGAACAGGUAAAGGAAAGCUGCAUCACAGAUGUAGCAAGUAGUUCCAAUGCCCUUGCCAAUGGUAUAGGCUUUCUUGCUUCCAACAUGGUCUUGAAAGUGCAGAUUAGAGAAGGAUAUCAAAGCCGGCCAGCUGCGAAUCCUGUGGGGUGAAAACCAUACAUUUGAGAACAUAAACAAAACAGAGCUGCCUGGUCCUCAAUUUAAGCAUUAUACUUGAGAAGGACAAUACAAGCAUUCAGGGAUAUUUGCAGCCCCAUCCUCAAUGUGUGAGAAAAUAAACUUUACAUGCAGAAAGGAAAUAAAUGGUUGAAAUUACACAAUGGAUGGAUGUUGAAAAGAAUCACUAACAAAUAUGUCUAGAAGAUCGAUCUGUUAAGCAUGGGAAGUUCAAAGAGUAGCAUUUUUUUUGAAUCUCAGAAAAAUGAAGAGUAAGGUACAGUCCAACAAUUUAGGGAAUUCAAACUCUAUUUGUGAAUAAACUGCUUGUAUUUUUCCUUUUUCUAGUGUAAGAUUUAAGGAAAAGUUAAAAUCACUUGACCCCUGAUCAGUUCUUUACCAAUACAUUGAUUUUGACUUCAAUCAUGAACAAAUAAUUCAGAUUAAGACUGAAUAGUUAAUAAAUUGAAAAAAAAGGGAAAGACAUCAGAACUUAGAUGUAACACACUAAUCCAUAACAUCCAGUCCUUCUUACUUUUCGUGCCUUUGGCCCAGUGUUGCAAAAGGCCUUGCCUGAGGUAAGGCAUUUGUCUCUACUGCAGCAGCACGAAAGCCUUGGAGCAUGGGUUGUAAUUCUCAUGAAUUUUAAAAUUUUUGAAUAUUUUAAAAAUAUUGUAAUAUUUAUGCAAAAUAUUAUUAAAACACAUAUAACUAUAAUAAAAUAUGUAAAAUUUUAAAAUUAUAGAAAAAUAUAUUAUCAUGAUAUGCGGUAGUAAUGACAGUAUAGAAAAAAAAAAAUAUGACAAAAAUUCAACGAAUACUAGUCGUGGGCAUCUGAAAAUGGUUAUAGAUGACAAGGGACGAUGAUUUUACUUGGAAACUUGGGUUUUUACAUUCUUGUGGUAUGUAUUACUAUACAAAAAUGGUAAAAUUAAAAUAUAACCAAGUUUUGGGGUUAAAUAAGAAAUUUGAGAUAACAGGUUAGCUAAAUUUUUAAAGUGAGCCAAAGCACAAGGACUUAAUACUACAUGUUUUACUAAAAUGGGACCCACAUCUCUAAAUUCAGGCCCGUCAGGUUCAUCGAGGUGCUUCGUUCGCAAGCCCAUUUGUCAGCCCAAAUCAUCAAACGCUUCCUUCCUCCCCUUUUUAUUUAAUAAACCCGAUACGACUUCCUGAUUAUUCCAGGAUCCAACAAUUAAAACUUUACUGGCUCUAAAAAAAAAAAAAACAAUUAAAACUUUACAUACAAAUAAAUGGUCAAAUUCACUUAAAAAUUGUGGGGUCAUCUUCCACAUUAAACUUUUGUACUAUCCAAGUUUGUUUUAAUUCCUUUGGGAAAAUCAAACAUCGAAUGCAUUCCCCAAAAAAAACAAAAAAGGGAAAAGGAAAUGGCUUACCUUUGCCCUUACGUAUCCAAUCCCAAUUUGAACAUUACAUCAUCCAUCCAAUUGAAACAAACUCCUAUGGAGAUUUUUUUUUUGCUCUAUUUUGUUGUUAGAUCUGAAAGUUUUUUCAAAAUUUGAAUCUAUUUGAACAUAUCUCAUUAUCAUUAUUGAAACUUAAAACCAUUUAUUGACAAAUCUGGCAAUUGCCAUAUGCACAAAAGGGAGACGCUUUAAAAUUCUUUAUAUUUUAUUAGAUGUGUUUGUAAUUUUCAAAUCUAUUGUAUUAGUUAAAUUAUAAUCUGUAAUUUUUAAUGCAUGCGUGACCUGCCAUUAGAGGAGUUAUGUAAAUCAAAUCAUGUUGGACGAUUUUCAAAAAAAAAAAAAAAAAACUUAACCGUCAAUUACUCUUUCCCAUUUUAUUUGUCCACUUUUCAAUUGUCAAUAACUCUUUUAAAAUAUUUUGCAAUACAAAAAUCAACUGAAACCAGUAGACAUUGUAAUUAAUAGCAGUAUUCAAUUCUUGUUUUUGUAUAUUACUCGUACAUCUAAUUAGUCCAAUUUGGAGGGAAAAAAAGGUGAAAACAAAAAAAUAUAAUAGUCACAAAAAACACAGAUCUAGCUCAAAAUAUGGCAGUGACCAAUUGUUCUGCAAAAUUAGUAGGAUAAGCAGUUGACAAAUUCUAUAAUCCCUUUUGGUCAAAUAUUAUUUUUAAUAUUUAGGUCGUUACAAUUUCAAUAAUUUAAAUUACCAGUUACUAUCAUCAUUGGAAGAAGCACAUUGAAGGAAUGAUACUCUAAGAUGACUGAUAGAGCGAUUUUUGAGCACAUUUUGUACUAUUAUUCUGUCCUAAUUUUGGCUACUCAUGGUGCUAAGAAUUAAGAUUUUGCUCAUAUUUGAUAUUUGUAUGAAUUAUAGGUGGUUGGCGUUAAAAAUGAUCUUGCGAGGCGAAUUUCUAGAAGACCCUUCAGGUCAAGACGUGCCCAUGCCAGAAGUAGUGGAAGGUUACCCAUAAAGUCGGACCCGCGGGCUUGGUAGCAAAAUAAGUCAACUAGGGAACCAGGUCCACGUGGAUCAAAGGCGGGGGAUUAGAACCCUUAGGCAAAGCUUGUUCCUUUUUUUGGAUUACUACUGGCGGCGCACAUGAAAAAUAUAAGAGACGAAGCCAGGUUCACGUGAAAGGAAGGAGAUAGCUUAGUUUUCUUUUCCCAAAUUUGUCAGACGUUUGUCUUGCUUUUCUCGGUAGAAAACAGAAGACAAGCCAGAAUCACGUGGGCUUAGUAGAUUAGUUUUCGUUUUCUUCACUGGCAACAAUUUCUUUCUCUGUUUUGACUUUUGAUAAAUUUCAUGAGAUUGCUCCAGUACGGACACGAAAUAAGAAAAGGAAUUAAGAGACUUUCUCUUCAUUAUUCCUCCGUUAGUUCACUUUUCUCAAUUCUUCGGCAAUUAAUUGAAUGUUUUCAAUUAAAUCACACGGGAUUGACAGGAUGAGGAGAGGCUAGUUCUCUCCUCUACCCAGAGGUCGACGCGAGGGCGCGGUCCAUAAUAUCAGUAAGAUCUGAUCAAACUUUCAUUAUUUCUUCCAAUUUGUUACUAUUCGUGCGUUUCUUGGAUUAAUUAUUCAUGGGUAUUUUAUUAAUUGAAUAUCAACGGCCGGGUAUUUAAUUUAAUUUAAUAGCCUACUGUCACAUUAACUAAAUUCAAUCCGUAAUUGUUUGUUUAGUUGAUAACUAGUGACAACCAGCAUAAUUAGCUUUAUGUUGGAGGAAUGCAAGAUCUAAUUUAAAUAAACUCUCUUAGCGUGUUUAUUGAUUAGGGUUGAGUUCUUCUAGUUGUAAUGCAGUUGGAUAAUUAAAUUCCUAUAGUUGUACAUAGAGUUGUUAACUGGUUAGAGAAGCAGUCAACGGUCGUACCUUGGCUGUCGAAAAGGUAAGGAAGAAUUGGUUAUCAGAACUUGUUGUUAGCUAUAACCAAUCAAGUAAUGAAUGAGUGAAAUAUCUUUGCAUCGAUGAUCGUUUAAUUGGACCAUGCCUGAAAAGUUGAUCCUUUGGGUAAAAUUUUAUUAAUUGCUAUUUUUACUAAAUUGCACUUGUUGAGUUAGCUCUUGAGUUUUACUUAUUUUAUUUUUACUUUCACCCCAUUAAUUAUCCCUCUCUUUUAUUCUAUUGACUUAGAAAGAAAUCACUUCCUAUCCGUUCCCUGUGGAAUCGACCCUACUUGCCAUUGUACGCAAAUUUAAUAUUUUUAUAGACAAAUCUGGUAUAUCGGAUCAAACAAAUUUUUUGAAAAUAGGGUGAAUCAAGUAACCCAUUGCACACCUAGAGUCCCUGCUCCAGUACUUGGAUUUGUUCUAUAAUGAAUUGUGGUGGUAAUUAGGACUUUUUAGUAAUUAUUAUUGCACAGGUUCGGCACCUGUCAAUUUUUGGCGCCGUUGCCGGGGAGCGGUGUUUUGGUUAAAUUUGUUUCUUUCUAAGUUAUUCUCUUUGAAUCUGUCUAGCAUUUUUCUAGUUUAUGCCUCGCUCUUCUCGUACAGGCGAAUUGAUUUUCGAUUCAGAAGUAGAGAAGGCUGCGCGCCAAACUAGGAAACAGACCAGACAACUCAGGGAGGAGCAAUCCAGUAUUGCAUCUCAGGGACUGGAUCUUGAGGUUGAAUCAACAGAUUCAAGUAGUGAAAAUUUAAAUGAUCCAGGCCAAGAGGGCAUCCUUAUGGCAAAUGCAAGAAUACUAUAGGAGUUGGCUGCUCCAGAAUUACCCCAGCAGCCUUUGUGCAUUACAUUCCUAACGUUGGCUAAAAAUAUCUCAUUUGAAUUGAAGUCAGAAUUAAUCCACCUCCUACCUACGUUCCAUGGCCUCUCAGGUAAGGAACCCUACAAACACAUCCAAGAGUUUGAUGUGGUAUGCUCCAGUAUGAAGUCUCCAGGAAUUACUGAGGAGCAGAUUAAACUCAGAGCCUUCCCCUUCUCCCUCAAGGAUGCAGCAAAUGAUUGGUUGUACUACCUACCUGCAGGUAGUAUCAUCAAAUGAGCCCAACUUAAGAAGAAAUUUUUGGAAAAAUUCUUCCCUGCGUCCCGGGCUGCAAGUCUGAGAAAAGAGAUAUGCAGCAUUAAGCAAUAUCCUGGAGAAUUCUUAUAAGACUAUUGGGAGAGAUUCAAUAAGUUGUGCACUAGAUGCCCACAGUAUCAAAUUAGUAAAUAACUGUUGAUCCAAUAUUUCUAUGAGGGACUCCAGUCGUCUGAUAGAAGCAUCAUCGAUGCUGCGAGUGGGGGAGCCCUGGCGAACAAGACACCACGAGAAGCAUGGAUAUUCAUUGAAUCAAUGGCGAAAAAUUCUCAACAGUUUGGUUUCCUAAAAAGUAACCCUACCCGGAGGGCUAACGAGGUAGAGACGUCAUCCAUUCAGCAGCAGAUAUCAGAGCUAACAUUUUUUGUUACAAUUAGCUGUGGGAAACAUGCAUCAAGCUAAGGCCUGUGGAAUCUGCACAAAUGUGGGUCACUCCACUGACUCAUACCCUAUGUUGCAAGAGGAUGGGGGUGAACAAGUGAACAUAGUCGGAGGCGUGCCCGUGCCUCAUAGACAGUACGAUCCAUACUCCAACACAUACAAUCUGGGUUGGCAAGACCACCCCAAAUUCAGUUAUGGUAAUAAGCCACAGAAUUCAUUUCCCAAUCGCCUACAAGGAUUCCAACAACCGUAGCAACAAAAGUCUCAACCCUCGUCCUCCAGCUCAGGAAGUCAUUUGGAGAAAAUUGUCAAGAGUUCAGCUACGACUAUAACUCAGCUCCAGCAAGAGACUAGGUUCUUGGUCGCGAGCAUUACUCAGUUCCAACAGGACACCAAAGCAGGCAUGAAAGACAUGGAAAUUCGAAUGAGUUAAAUGACAACUGCCAUUAAUCGCCUAGAGUCCCAUGUUUAUGAAAAAUUGUCAUUUCAAUCCGAGCCAAAUCCCAGAAAUGUAAGUGCCAUAACAUUAAGGAGUGGCAAAAAGGUGGAGGGACCUAAGUUGGUAAAUUCGAAAAGCAAAAGUGAGGAAGAGAUAAAAAAGGAGAUUGAAGAAGAAGGACGCAUUCGUAAAGACCCUAAGGUAAAAUUUACUCUUUCAGCUCCUAUUAAAUCUAACUUACCUCAUUUUCCUUGCAGGUUAGAAAAAACAAAGAAGCAAAAUAAGGAAAAGGAGAUUUUAGAGGUGUUUCGAAAGGUGGCAAUCAAUAUCCCUUUGUUGGACGCGAUCAAACAAGUGCCAAAAUACGCUCAAUUCUUGAAAAACUUGUGCGUUAACAAGAAGAAGUUGAGGGGGGAUGAACAAAUUGUGGUAGGUGAGAACGUUUCAGCGAUUUUGCAAAGGAAACUACCACCUAAAUGCGGAGAUUCAGGUAUGUUUAUUAUCCCUUGUAAGAUUGGAUGUUCUAAUAUCAAAAAUGCCAUGCUAGAUUUAGGGGCCUCUAUUAAUGUGAUGCCUAAAUUAAUUUAUGAUUCCCUAAAUUUAAAACCUUUAAAAGAAAUAGGGAUAAUAAUUCAAUUGGCUGAUCGUACAUUUGCUUAUCCGGAUGGAAUAGUUGAGGAUGUUUUGGUGCAAGUAGAUGGAUUAAUUUUUUCUGCUGAUUUUUACGUACUUUACAUGGAUGAUAGAAGUGCCCCAAAUCCAUCACUCAUUAUAUUAGGAAGACCAUUCUUGAGUACUGUCCAAACUAAGAUUGAUAUUAGUAAGGGUACUCUCACGAUGAAAUUUGAUGGAGAAAUAGUCCAUUUUAAUAUUUUUGAUACAAUUAAAAAUCAUGUUAACUCUCAUUCUGUAUUUGCUAUUCAGGCUACUAAUCCCUCUGUGCAAGAAUUCUCUGAGUUUGUUUGUAGGGGUAAAUUCAAAAUUGUUGCGAACAAGUAUCCUGGAAUGAAAGCAAUUCAUGAGGUGAAAAUGAGUAGAAAAUUCAGGAAAAUAUUGCAUUCAAUGGCUAUUUGGAUCCCGGAGGAGGGCCACAAAUUAGAAGAAAAAUUGAAUUACAUCCAAACUGAAGAGCGGUGUAUAGUGUCUAGCCAAAAACAUUAAAGAAAGGCGCUACUUGGAAGGAAAUCCAAGGCUUUCAAUUGUGUUUUUUCAUAUUUGUGUGUUCAAGAUCAGUGGGUUUAGGUUCCUAUUGACAAGCAAUCUUUAUUGUAGGUCAUGGGUGUUUCUGUGUAGUUUUAUUCUAUGUUGGGAGCAAAAAUUUGCGGGCAGAAGACUUCAUGUUACAAGGCUUGCCCGCGCCUUGUACUCACCGCGCAUGAACAUUUGUAAAAUUUGGCGGACAGAAGAUCUCGACCUUCAAGGCGUCCCCACGCCUUCCAACCUUUGCAACAAUGAAAGUUAAAAAAAUUGAUCAGGACCUUCUCUAACCCCCCUUUUCUACUUUUCUCUUUUCUUGUCUUAUCUGGUCUUUUUAAUUUCCUCUAUCUUAGUUUCUACUUUUCAAUUUCCUUUGUUUUGUCUUAGUUUCAGUUUCUUUGUUUCCUCUUUUCUUGUUUGUCCGCUGCGCACAGCGCGUCGCUGUGGCGUGCUCCUCUUACCAUGCUCCUCCUGCUGGGGAUUCCCAAUACCGUGCCCUCCAAGAUUCUAUCCGUGAACUAGGUGAGCGGGUUAAGGGACUAGAUGGCCAUCUUGCAGGGCUACAGGUUUUUGCUCGCAUUCAGGCGAAGAACCAAGCAGCUUUCUUUGCUCAUAUUGGAUUCACUCCAGCUCAUCCUUCCCCCCCUUAGUGUCUAGCUGCACCCUCUCGGUGGUCAAGGAAGUUUAUCUCCUUUUCUUCUAAUACUUCAUUUGUCUUUUCUAUAUUGAGAGCAAUGUAGGUUUUAGGUGUGGGGGAGUGGUUUCCAUUAUUUCUUUUGGCUUUGGUACAAAAAAAAAUGAAAAAAAAUGAAAAAUGAAAAAAAUGAUGAAAACAAUGCAGUUAGUCGGCUUUCUGUUCAUUUCUAUGUUUGUUAGUGCUGGAGUGUGUUGCUAUGAUGGAUUAUACAAUCCUGGGGCACAGGUACAUGGUCAAAUAUGCUAGCUGGACAUUUUGUUUUUCCUUGGCAAUAUCGUUGAAUGUAGAGUGUGUUGAACUUGACCCAUUCUUGUAACUUUUGGAAGCUUUUGAGCCAUGCAUGGGCACAUUAUUCUUGUUUGCUCUAGUUUUGUUUGAUUGAGUGGGUAUCACACAUGGUAUUGGUAUUCUAGAACUUGCUAUUUUAUACAUGUCGAGACUAUAUUUUGUUGAACUGGAUGCAUUUGAAAUGAUAAGGGCAUUUGGGAUUAAACCUUCUUUAACUUCCUAAAACCCAUGCCUUCAUCUUGUCUCCCAAUAGUGAACCAAUUUGAACUUUUAUCCGUCAAAUUUGUUUGUUAGCCAUGUUGAUAACCCAAGACCUUUUUAGACUUUCUUGUUCACCCCGGUGUUGUUAAGGGAUGUCUGAAUUUCAUCAUUUGUGCAAGACAAAUAAAUCUGGAGUCGCAAGUGUUGUUAGAGUAGAAUCUGUAUGAUGCUAUCUUUGUGCAUUUAGAACAAAAAGGGGAGAAAUCGACAAUAAGCUGCUGAUCAGAAGACUCUGUCUUACAGGGUGUGCCCACGCCUUGCAACACGUUUUUCAAAAAAAAUGAAAAAAAAGGAGAAGAGAAGCUAGUGAACAUAAGGCUCUGGCCUCCAGGACGUGCCCAUGCCUUGCAAGACAUCUUUGUAAAAAAAAAAAAAAAUUGCGACAUUUGCACAGUAGGUACAGCAGGUGAAACUGUCUUGUUCGCGGAGUUCAUGUGGUGAAGCAUUGUGGUUAUAUGGUGGGUUUUGGACAUCCUCUUGACACAUUACAUCUUACCUUCACCUUCUUAUCCCGCAUUUUACCUAAACCCCAUUACAACCCUAUUAAAAUCUCUUUGAUUAGUGUAUUUAAUUCACUUUUAAGUGGUGGAGAUUUAAUAAAUGUGCAAGCCUAUGGUAAUGUCAUUCCGUGUGUUGAUUUGACCGUUCCCAGUAUUCAUACAUUCUCUUGAAGGUGACGAGUAUUACUGAGCAUAUUCUUUGGUUAAUUGCCUAUCCGGCAUAUUCUAAUUUCGGCGACAUUGUCGGGGGGGCGAGAUGCUUGUGCUAGUAUAGAUUACUAUAUGACCUCUGUUGUCUUGAUUGUAUUUCUGAGUUUCGGAAUGCUUGAGGACAACCAUUGUUUAGGUGUGGGGGGAUUUGAUAGAGUGAUUUUUUAGCACAUUUUGUACCAUUAUUCUAUCCUAAUUUUGGCUACUCAUGAUGCUGAAAAUUGAGAUUUUACUCAUAUUUGAUAUUUAUAUGAAUUGUAGGUGGUUGGCGUUAAAAGUGAUCUUGCGAGGUGAAUUUCCAGAAGACCCUUCAGCUCAAGACGUGUCCACGCCAGAAAUAGUGGAAGGUUACCCAUAAAGCCGGACUCGCGGGCUUGGUAGCAGAAAAAGUCAACUAGGGAACCAGGUCCACGUGGACCAGAGGCGGGGGAUUAGAACCCUUAGGCAAAGCUUGUUCCUUUUUUUGGAUUACUAUUGGCGGCGCACAUGAAAAAUAUAAGAGACGAAGCCAGAUUCAUGCGAAAGGAAUGAGAUAGCUUAGUUUUCUUUUCCCAAAUUUGUCAGACGUUUGUCUUGCUUUUCUCGGUAGAAAACAGAAGACAAGCCAGAAUCACGUGGGCUUAGUAGUUUAGUUUUCGUUUUCUUCACUGGAGACAAUUUCUUUCUCUGUUUUGACUUUUGAUAAAUUUCGUGAGAUUGCUCCAGUACGGACACGAAAUAAGUAAAGGAAUUAAGAGACUUUCUCUUCAUUAUUCCUCCGUUAGUUCACUUUUCCCAAUUCUUCGGCAAUUAAUUGAAUGUUUUCAAUUAAAUCAUACGGGAUUGACAGGAUGAGGAGCGGCUAGUUCUCCCCUCUACCCAGAGAUCGACGCGAGGGCGCGGUCCAUAAUAUCUGUGAGAUUUGAUCAAACUUUCAUUAUUUCUUCCAAUUUGUUACUAUUCGUGUGUUUCCUGAAUUAAUUGUUCGUGAGUAUUUUAUUAAUUGAAUAUCAACGGCAGGGUAUUUAAUUUAAUUUAAUAGCCUACUAUCACAUUAACUAAAUUCAAUUCGUAAUUGUUCGUUUAGUUGAUAACUAGUGACAACCACUAUAAUUGGCUUUAUGUUGGAGGAAUGCAAGAUCUAAUUUAAAUAAACCCUCUUAGCUGUUUAUUGGUUAGGGUUGGAUUGUUCUAGUUGUAAUGCAGCUGGAUAAUUAAAUUUCUAUGGUCGUACUUAGGAUUGUUAUCUGGUUAGAGAAACAGUCAACGGUCGUACCUUAGCUGUCGAAAAGGUAAGGAAGAAUUGAUUAUCAGAGCUUGUUAUUAGCUAUAACUAGGGGUGGCAAUCCGGUCGGGUUCGAGUUGGUGGGGCGGGUUGAGACCCAAAUAUAACAAAAAAAAUCAUUGACCCGAACCUGACCCGUCAACCCGAAACGGGUCAGGAUGCCUGACGCCAACCCGAAAAUUUCGGGUUGGCGGGUCGACCCGAAAUGACUCGAAACUUAAUUUUAAAUUAUUAAUUUGUCAUUGUAAUUUCUAAUAAAAUCAAUUUCUCACAAAAUUAAUUACAUCAUCAAGUAAUAAAAAUUUAAAUAAAAAUUUCAAACCAAAUCUAAAAUAAAUUAAAUACCGUAAAAGUGUUUUAUCCCAAACCAAAUAUAAAAUAAAUUAAAACAGCAUAAAAGUGAAAAAUAACAUAAUAUAUUAUUUGUUCAAAUAUAAUAAUUUUAACUUCACACAAGUUAAAUAAAUUCAUUUAGGAUUAAGUAAUUAAUACCUUUGAAAAAAAAAGAAUGAUUUAGUUUAGUUAGAUAAAAUAAUUUUAUGCUUAUGAAAUUAUUUUUAAUUCGUAAACGGGUCAUAUCGGGUCAUAUCAGGUCACCAUGGGUUGACCCGAAAUCGACCUGUUUUGUUUUCGGGUCAAUCGGGUUCGACCCGAUUCUGACCCGAAUUCCUGAAACCUCAAUCCAAACCCGUUAAUUUCGUGUUACGUUCAUGUCGUGUUUUCGGAUCGUGUCAGAAAUUGCCACCCCUAACUAUAACCAACCAAGUAACGAAUGAGUGAAAUAUCUUUGCAUCGAUGAUCGUUUAAUUGGACCAUGCCUGAAAAGUUGAUCCUUUGGGUAGAAUUUUAUUAAUUGCUAUUUUUACUAAACUGCACUUGUUGAGUUAGCUCUUGAAUUUUACUUAUUUUAUUUUUACUUUCACCCCAUUAAUUAUCCCUCUCUUUUAUUCUAUUGACUUAGAAAGAAACCACUUCCUAUUUGUUCCCUGUAGAAUUGACCCUACUUGCCAUUGUACGCAAAUUUAAUAUUUUUAUAGACAAAUCUGGUAUAUCGGAUCAAGCAAACUUUUCGGGAACAUGAUGAAUCAAGUAAUCCAUUGCACAUCUAGGGUCCCUACUCCAGUACUUGGAUUUGUUCUAUAAUGAAUUGUGGUGGUAAUUAGGACUUUUUAGUAAUUAUUAUUGCAUAAGUUCGGUACCUGUCAAUGACUAUAGAAUUUUUCUAGUCGGUGAUACAAAAUAUUAAUAUUUGAAAAAAAUUCUAAUCACACAAUUGUAUUUGAUCUCAACCAACCGUCACUACUUUAAAUUAAUUUGGAUUGCAAGUAACGUCAUUACUUUAUGUGAAUAUCAAACAUGAAAAGCGCAUGAUAUAUACGAGCAAAAAAAUUAUAAUGUACUAAUUUUCAAUUUCUUUAUGUAGAAUAUUUUCGUGAAUAUUAAUUUUUGACAUAUCUUAGUCAAGGUCAUUAAUCAACCCGGACCUAAUCAGCUCCAAACCCAGGGCAAAUUUCUGGCAAAUUUCUUUGAAAUACUGCCAAAAAGAAGUUUGAAAAAUAUUGUUGAAAAGUUGAGCAUUUUUCUAUCUAGGCUCUUCGUGUCUCCUACACGCAAUGGAUAGUUUAUUUGUUCAAUUUUCUUUUUAUAAAAGGAGCUUGUCGUAUGUCAGGCACAUGGCGAGCCACAUUUAAAAUUUGGUUCCUAUCAUAGAGUCUAUUAUGUCCCUAACACUGAUGGACUGUUUUUUAAUUUUUUUUUUUUUUAAAAAGCAAGUGAAAAGUGUUGCAACUCAAGAGUUGGAUAGUAAUUUUAAAAUUUAAUAGUGCACCUACCUUUUAAUUUUUUCGUGUGCUUUUAAGGUAUCAAACGGGGAAAAAAAAACCAACACCAUAUAACUUCAAAUGCAAGAUGGUACGGAAUUUGUCAAUAUGUAGAUGUUAAUAGACAUUAAUGACAUGUAAAAAGUGCACCAUUCAUCACAGAGAUAUUUAUCCUAAUAUUACACUCUUUUUUUUUUUUUUCAAAAAUUCCAUAUUUCAUGCAAACAUGUAAUCAAUAUGCCUAAUCAACAUUAGAUGAAUUUAAACAAGUAGCCUACAAAUUUAAAAAUAUUUGAUUUCAUAAAUGUGCAUUCGCAAUUUAGAAAAGGUACUCUUCAAAUGGCAAAUCUAGAGAGCAACAAAUACUCCUACUCUAUUUUGAUUUCAGAUCUUCUUUUGACUUGCCAAAAACGUGAAAACAUGAAACUAAUACUGUGUCAGAUGGAGAGAAGUAAUAGAAAUUUGUUUUCUAGAUUCUUUGGCCUCCCAAUUUUUUCAGCGGGUCAACUCCGACCAUUAUCAUGGUCAUGUGAUUGUAGGUGUACCUGGCUUUGUAGACCACAACGUGGAUUGGAUAUGUCGAUUAGCUCCCAUCCUAUUAUAAUAUUUUUUCUUUUAUAAAUCAAUAUCUAUUCUAUUCCUAUUUCAACUUCUAUUCUAGGGAAAGGGGAGAUUCAACUGAAAAAUUGAUAGUGAUUGAAUCACGAUCGGACCAAACAGAUGUACUAUGCACAUAUACGAAUCUUGGAGAAGCCGGUGCAAUGAUGAGAGGUAAUGUUUGAGUCUUGACCUUCCAUUCCACUAAAAUUUAUAGUCUUUGAUAGUGGCCAACCACCCAAAGAGUUGUUGGUUAACUCCCACCCUGUUAGGAAGUAAAGGUUUUCGACACUCUAAAACAAAUGUUUUUUUUUUGUUUUUUCAAUUAUUUUCAUCUAUCACCAACAGCUGGCGGUCAUGGGUCAUUCAUCAAAGCAUAAAUCCGAACGACACUAAUCCCUCACUAGUCAUCCCCUCAUUCCUUCACGUAUGUUUUUAAUAAAUUGGAUUCAUCUAUUUGGUGUUCUAAAAUCACAUUUAAAAAGUUUUUUUUUUUUUGCAAUGUGUUAUUAUUCAGGACAUGAAUGAUAAUUUUAAAAUUUGAAUAGUGGACCUAAAAAUAAAACUUGUAAAUUUUACAUCUUAGCCUACUUACUUUUAAAACAGAGGGAAAAAACAGCACAUAAUUUCAAGUCAAAGAUUGUAUGCAGUUUGUCCAAUAAAUAAAUAUUCAUAAUUCAUAAUUUCAAACGACCGUGCCUAGUUGCGUGCGACCAUGCCCCGUCGGCCUGCGUUCCGCACACUAGGAUUCUAGAACUGUGUGGAACUCUUUAGAGUCCUUAAAGGAUAAGGAUGCAUGAAUCUUGAAGAUAAGCAUGAACCUUGUAAAUAAGGUUGUGUAGAAAAUUCUAAGCACUUGUAGUGUUUUGGCUUGCCUAUAAAUAGGCCAAGCCCUUUGUAUUGGAAAUGGUUGGCGACCUUGUGUAAAGAAACUUUAUGUAUAAUAUAAGCUUUUCUUUGCCACACUUACAUAUCUUUGCAUACUACUUUGGCGCUUCCGCACUUUAACCGCGCAUUGAGUGUUAAUGCUGAACUAGUUAGGCGUUCAUAGCUUAAGACAUGAGCGUAUGUUAGUGCCGCACGAGGUGUUGGUUUGUAGGAAAACAAGCAGCCCGUGACAAUAGGAAUGUGCUUAGAAAUUGACAUGUGCACUGAUGAUUAAUGCGGUGGACCCGUAAGGGAAAGUGGACAUCGGAAGCCACACGCGCAUGAAUUAAGUGUAAGGAGGAAAUGAUUUCGGGAAUAGCUAAUAUUACCAUUUAUCACUGAUUUUUAAAUUCAAAUUAUUUUUUUAAUUUUUCGUAUGUUGUUUGACAAGAAAAAUAAUAUUUUAUUAUUAUUAGAUUCGCAAGAAAUUCAAAUUUAUCUUCUUAACACUUAGUAAAAAUUGAGUUUAAAUACAUAUUUAUUUUUAAAUGAAUAUAAAUGGAUGAGUCGAAUCAAUCAAUUAUCCUGAGUAUUUUGAAUAACUCAGUUUCAUGUCCGUUUCAAUUCUUCAAAAAUUGCACAGAAAAGUGAAAACAAUGAAAAUGUCUUGGACUCGGGGCACGGACGGUUGCAGGUGCAACCGUCCCUGCCAAUUUUAGUCAUUAUCAACUGUGCGUAACUUUCUUUGUACAUCGUAUAACUUUUUUUUUACAGGAUAUAUUUUCACAACAGAUAGUGGUGAGUCCCACACUUGGCGCGAAAAUCGAGUUACAUGGUGUUAUCUUAGCCGCACAAAAUUUUGAGGACAAAUUUUGAUCCUUAACCGUGCAGGGACGGUCAUACUGCCCCAAAUCCAAAUGUCUUAUAUUAGCUUGGCAGUCCUGCUGAGGUAUAUACAGGUGGAAAUCAUGCUACACAUUGUACAGCUUUCCUUUAGAACCAAGAAACCUGAGCAUUCUCUUUCAAUUGAGAUAGGCUAUCCAGUUGAUUAAUGAUAUGCUAUUUACUUACCUUGUCAAUCGUUUUCAGUCGGUGCCAAAAGCACUGCAGUAGCCGUUUUUUAGUCAAUAUCUAAACACGGUACUCAUUUUGUUCAGAGUACAGCUUUUUGUCUAUUUGUGAAAGCCAACUGCAACUGCCUCAUUGACUUCUCCAAGUAAUUCAAAGAUUUCAGCAGCUUGCUUACAUUAAGCUUUUAUGAAACAAUUUCUGUCUUCUUUUUCUCAUGUAGUCAGCAAAGAAUUGUCUAAUUUACCCUGAGUAUUAGGAAGAAACUUUCUUGCAGUUUAAUCACUCAAAAAACAGGCAAGUAUAAAGGAAAUCAAGGAAAAUUGACAACUGAUAAUUGAUAUGUACAGCCAUUAUUAUAUAUAGACGAAGUCAGCAAUUGAUUUAAGCACGUCUCGGUAAGUUAAAAGGUUAAAACUUUACAUACAAAUAAAUGGUCAAAUUCACUUUAAAUUUGUGGUGUCAUCUUCCACCUUAAACUUUUGUACUACCCAAGUUUGUUUUAAUUCCUUUGGGAAAAUCAAACAUCAAAUGCUUACCAUUUAUUGAAACAUUACAUCAUCCAUAUUUUUUUUUGACAAAAAAAGUAGAUAUAUAAUUAAUAGCAGUAUUCAUAUUAUUUUUUGUAUAUUACUUGUACAUCUAAUUAGUCCCAUUUGGAAAAAAAAAGGAUGAAAACAAAAACACAUAAUAGUCACAAAAAACACAGAUCUAGCUCAAAAUAUGGCAGUGACCAAUUGUUCUGCAAAAUUAGUAGGAUAAGCAGUUGACAGAUUCUAUAAUCGCUUUUGGUCAAAUAUUAUUUAAAUUAGCUGGAUGGUCAAAUAUUACUUUUAAUUUUAAUCAUUUAAAUUACCAGUUGAAUGUUGACUUCCCAUUUCACUAAAAUUUAUAGUCUUUGGUAGUGGCCAAUCAUCCAAAGAGCUAUUGGUUUGUUCCCACCCUGUUAGGAACUAAAGGUUUUCGACCUUCUAAAAAAAAUGUUUUUGUUUUCAAAAAUUAUUUUCGUCUAUCACCAACAGCUGGCGGUCAUGGGUUAUUCAUCAAAGCAUAGAUCCGAGCAACACUAAUCCCUCACCAGCCAUCCCUCAUUCAUUGUCGCAUCCUUUUUAUGAAUUGGAUUCAUCUAUUUGGCGUUCUAAAAUCACAUUUAAAAGUUUUUUUUUUUUUUUUUUUUGCGAAAGUGUUAUUAUUCAGGAUGUGUAUGAUAAUUUAAAAUUUUAAUAGUGGACCUAAAAAUAAAACUUGUAAAUUUUACAUAUGAGCCUACCUACUUUUAAAAUAGAGGGAAAAAAACACCACAUAACUUCAAGUCCAAGAUUGUAUGCAGUUUGUCCAAUAAAUAGAUAUUCAUAAUUCAUAAUUUCAUAUACACAUGUUAACUAGAGAUGUCAAUCACAACCCAAUUAUAUUGAUCCGUUCAAAACCGUUCACUAAUAACCCAUCCAAAUUCACUCAUUAAAAUUUAAAUGGGUCUAAGGUUGUGUUUGGAUUGCAUUUUCCGUCAUUUUUCAUGGAAAAAUUACUGUAGCGAUUUGAUAUAUGUGAGGGAAAAAGGUGAUAGGGAAAUGUGAUCACGGAAAACGACAAUAUUUUUCGACAGAAACAAGCAAUCCAAGCAUGACCUAAGUGAGUACCUAAUUAAAUUCAUUUAAUUGGUGGAUAGUUGAUUGAUUCGAUUCACCUAUUUAUAACCAUUUAAAAAAAUAUAUUUUUAAACUCAAUUUUUACUAAGUGUUAAGAAGAUAAAUUUGAAUUUCCUACGAAUCUAAUAACAAUAAAGUAUCAUUUUUCUUGUUAAACGACAUGCAAAAAAUUAAAAAAAAUAGAAUUUCAAAUCAGUGUAAAUGGGUAAUUAAGUAUAUUCAUAUCCAUUUAUUAAAUAGAUAUAAAUGGAUUGAUUCAAUUAUAUCUAUUACCCAAUUAAAAUUUGCUCAAAUCCGUACAAGUCACUCAUUUUGAUGCUUUUAAUGUUAAUAUAUAUUCACAAGUGAAGAGUGCAGCAUUGGUUGGGAAGAUAUACUUAUUUAUCUCAAUAUUAUAAUCGUUUUUUACGUUGCAAAAGUAUUGAUAAUUUCAUAAUUUCAUCGAAGUAUGUAAUCAGUGACAUAACAUUACAUGAAUUUCAACGAAGUAUGUAAUCAGUGACAUAACAUUUCAUCAUUAGUCUUCAGCGGUGAAUCUAUGCUCUUUUCACGAGGCUUCUUUUCAAAGCUUUGAUUAUGGCAUACACUUCUGACAAUAUGCCCCUUUUAGAAUAGGGAUAAGUUUCUGGGUGAAUCUUUUCACGAGGCUUCUUUUCAAAGCUUUGAUUAUGGGGAUAAUUUCAGAUACCUCCCCUGAGGUUUCUGAGAGUUUCACUCCCCUCCCCUGUGGUUUCAAUAAUACCACAAACCUCCCUUAAAACUAGAUAGGCAAUGCCAAAAUAGACCCAUUUUAAAAAUACAAACAAUAAAAAAUUAGUAGCUGGUGAGAGAAACAAGUGUAUACCACAAAUGCCCUCAUUAUCUUGCAUUAAUGAACUAAUCUCAUGUGAAGAAAAAACAGGGAAUUUAAGAAGAAAGAAACUUGAGGGGGUGGAAGUGAGACCAAUGCAUUCAUUAAGGUCUGAACGUCAGUAGUGAACAAAAUGGAAGGCAACGGCUCUUUCUGGUAGGGCAUGUUGUUUUGUCAAGCGAGCAUAUAACUGAAGAACGGCCUGCAUAACCAAAGCUAGUACAUGUUGUUUUAUCAAGUCACAAGCAAUAAUCAAUACAUUACCACAAUCUUCCAUCGUCAAAAAGCCUGUAGGUUUUCCAAAUGUUUUCUCAAAGAUUUAUCGACUUUCUUUAUCCUGCAAAAGAGGAGUGGAUUUUUUCUCAGCAACAUCUUCCAGAACUGGAGAUGCAACAUGUUUCUCUGAUGAGUCAGGUAUUAGUCCUGCUGCAGUCUCUUCUGUACUUUCACGAGAGAUUCUGGGCCUGGAUUGCAACAAAUUAUCCAGGAUUAGAAGUAAGGCACUAAUACAUUUCGGGCUCAAAAUCUCAUUUCCUGCAAUAGUCCUUGCUUUGAAGUUCAUCAAGAUAUCAAUUGCCAAUGGGACAAUGCCACUCUGCACAGCAAUUUGUCGAGCAUUUUCAUCUUCAGAUAAAAUCAAUGCUAAAGUAUGUGAAACCAUGCACAAUGCACUAUUAUCUUUUGAGAAUUCCAUGGGGCACUGCUUUAGCUACUUUACAAGAUAAGGAAUCACCCGAUCACGGUCUUCUCCUUUGUUCCUAUUGCAAAGAGUCACAAGCAAAUCUGUCAACUGGAAAGCCAUUGAAUCACUACUGUGAAACAACUUCAUUGUUGCAGCAAGGAUGUCAUCAACAUAAGGGGUCUUAAUUCGUUCCUCUUCUGCCAAAACAUCCACUGAUUUUUCAGUGUUAUCGACUUUAGAUGCUUCUGAGGAAUUUCCUAGAGAUAAAGCAAGUGCACGAGCCAAUUCAUCAUCCUCCAGCACAGGAUCUUCAGCAUGACUAAAUAACCAUUCCAUAGCCAUUUCGACACUAUUAGUUUCCACUCUUUUUAAUGCCUUCUCAGCUCUUGCUCUUGAGAACCCCAUCUCAACAAUGGUAGCAAUGGUAGCUUCAUUAGGUGGUGGAGCCACCAAACGUUGGUUUGUAUUCCCUAACAACCCACUACGAUUUGUUUAACAUCACCAACACCAGAAUAUACAUGAGUGAUUAGUGAAAUAAUAGAAGUUAUAAAAACUGGAUUACAAUUUGGAAACAAAGGGUGAUUCCAGAUGGGAACUAUAGCAUCCAGAACCUGAGACUGCAGCAUACGAACAAACACUUAAGGGUCCUUAGGAACAGGAAGCAACCCAAUAGACAGACCAACUGCAACAGGUUGCACAAGCAGCUGUGCCUGGGAUGCUAAGGUUGGAGACAACAGCAAAGAAGAAUUGAUAAAAUAUUCAAGAAGGCGACAAUAACUCUGCAAUGUAUCAAGCAGCCAUGAACUGUGAGACAAUUUGCCCUCCUCCGGUAAGACAAUCAUAAAAAGUUACAAGUAACUCUUGGGGUCUACCUUAGCCACUCUUACUUUUCUUCCCAUAAAAUGGAGCACAAUAUCAUGAAAAUCAGUGAUAACCAUCCUACAAUAGACAAUCAUAGGCUACUGAAGUUACAAUAUUAGUUAUUGAAGUUACAGAAAAUAUUAGCUACAAUAUUAACCAUCUUGCAACAUUGGUUGCUGAAGUUACAGAGCAAGUAUAAGCUUUCUAAGUACUGAGGUUUGGCAUCUAACUAUAUCAAACAAUCCAAGUCAGACGAGAAAUUUAGAAUCAAGUAAGCAUAGUCUGGUAGAGGCUUAGCAAACCAAGUCACAUGACAAACCAGAAAAUCAUAAGCAAACAUGUAUCAAGCUUACACAAACAACAACCAAAUCAUCAUAAGCUGCCAAUAUCAUAUUGAAACAGAGUAUGAAAUCUUAAACACUUACCUGGUAAAUUUUUCUUAAUGAGCUAAGAGACUCUUCAGUUUGUUUGCCAAGACCUUUGUUUGCUAAGAACUUUCUUAACGAGAAUCAAGAGCUUUGUUUGCCAACCAUCAACCUCAGUUGCUAUAUCUCAACAAUGGCGGGAACAAAGUAAGUUUCUUGCUUCUAUAGGUACCGUGCCUAUCAAGCUGUUGUGUCAAUCAGACCAUGGCGCCUAAGUUUGGCGCCAUUUUGCUGAAGGCUCCUUUCUAUAUUGGUUGUUAGGACUCUAAUUUUUCGUUAAUUAAUUACAUUAAUUGUGUUUAUAACUAAUUCAACUAAAGUUUUCCAGAUAAUCAUGAAAUAUUAGCAAACUAGUGAGGGUAUUUAAGUCUUUUUGGCACCAAUGACGUAAGAAAUGGGACCUCACAAUCUGACAAGGGAGGUUUGUGAUAUUAUUGAAAUCACAGGGGAGGGAAGUGAAACUGUCAGAAACCUCAGGGGAGGUAUCUGAAAUUAUGGGAUACACUUCUGACAAUAUGCCCCUUUUAGAAUAGCGAUAAGGUUCUGUGUGGGAUAAUUUCAGAAACCUCCCUAGGGUUUGUAACAAUUUCAUCAAGCUUUCUUGAGAUUUUCAAUAUUACACUUACCUCCCUUGAUGAUAGUGACUAUAAUAAUCUUCAUAAUUUUUUCAGAGACAAGCCAUUGAUAAAAAAGGAUUAAAAAAAAACGAAAACAAUUCUUCUUGGCUAAGCCACAUAUUGUGACUAAAUUGUUUCAUCCAUGACCACUAAAUUGUAAUUUUCUAUUACUGAGAAAAGGAAGUAUUUUGGUAAUUGAGGGGCUUGGUUGUUUGAGUAGGAAAAGGGUAAGAAUUAUGAAUUUUAUGAUUGACAGUUUGGUAGACAACAUAUGGAAAAAACUUAUAGAGAGGUAAAAAUUAUAAAGGUAAGAAUUAUGAUGGUGGAUUUUGACAUCUAAAAUAACGAGCUUGUUCGAAAGAGGAAGAAAUGAUAAGACUUUGAAAACUUGGGUAGAUGUAGAAAAUUAUGAGAUGAAAAAUAUUAGGACAUUGGCUAAGUAAUAAAACUCAUAGGUUUAUAGUAUACAAGUGUAUUCUUGAUUUUUGAAAAAUUUUAAUGACUAUUCAUAUUUUGAAAAUUAGAUAAGGACAAUUUUGGGCAUUCGUAUAUUUUUUUGGUCUUACAUCGUCAAGGUGAAACUCAAACCUAUGUUUGAGUAAAUAUAUGUGUAAUUUUCAAAACGUGAGAAAAGCUGUCUGAAAUUAUCAGAAACCCCAGGGGUGGUUUAUGAAAUUAUACAAAAAACUCCAAUAAAGUGGCAGUUCAAACUGGGCCAACCAUCUCCUAUCUUCGCAUGUCCUCCCGCCGGCGGCCCUGAGUCAUCUAUAAAAGUAUAGACCAAGACAGCACUAAUCCCUCAUCAGGCCUCCAUACUUCUUCUUCAGGCCUCAGCAACGAAACAAUAAACUCUGCUCCACUCAACUCUUUCCUCUGUGUCUUGUACUCUUGUCUGAAAAUGGCGGCGUCAGAAGAAGUGAAAGUGCCAAGAAUCAAGCUGGGGUCGCAAGGUUUUGAAGUUUCAGCUCAAGGGCUGGGCUGCAUGGGCAUGUCAGCCGUCUACGGGCCGCCAAAGCCCAAGCCUGAUAUGAUCAAACUCAUCCACCAUGCUAUUUGCAGAGGAAUCACCCAUCUUGACACCUCCGAUAUCUAUGGACCUCACACCAACGAAAUACUCAUUGGCAAGGUACCAUAUUUGCAAAUUUUCUGCUGUUGUCUGCUAUGCAUAAACUCUUGUAAUUUUAAUUUCUAAAAGAGCAUAUUUUUAAAUAUUUUAUUUAGGUAAAUUAUGCUUAAUCCCAUGCACUUCAAAAUUUGUCUCCCUUUGUGCCCCCUUAAUUUUGUUUGUCAGCACUUAAACUCCAUUUGUUUAAAUUGUAAGUAUUAUUAGUCAAAUAUGACAUUGUUCUUCUUCAACUUUUCAUGUUACUGCCUUUUCAGUUUGUCCUCCUUUAUAAAUAUGGGAUGAAUUACUUUGAUUUUGAUUUUGGUGCAAUUUUGUAUAAAAUGAUUUUUGCUAUGAAGUUAUUGAUUUAUUAUGAGCUAUGUGUUGUAUAUUUACAAAAUUCUGCUAGUUAAACAUUCACUUGAGCAAGCCUUCCAAACAUGAGCAAUAUAAUUCUCUAUGGGUGCAUUUGGUAAAUUUGAAGUCUAGAAAUUGAAAUCUAAUCUAAAGUCUGAAUCUAUAAAGUUAUUAAAUUGUUAAGUACUAAAUUUGAUACGUUUGAGUGUAUGUCACAUCAAGUGAAAUGAAUAACUCAUAACUUAUUUUUUGAAGCAAGUUUUGCUUAAGAAAUUUAAUGUCAUUUAAUUAAUUCAGAUAUUCAAUUUUUGGUUAUCAAACGUGUCUAAAUAUGUUAAGAUCUGAAUUUAUUAAUUUUAAGUGUUAAAUUAGGUUAUCAAACAUGACCUAUAAUUAUUAAGUAACCAAGCAGACAACAUGUUUAGUGUAUAAUAGUAAUUAGCUUUCAAUUUGUCUUGUUAUUCUUUGGUAAAGAACUCUUUGAAUUAAUAAUAAUAAUUUUCUCAUACACGGGAAUCAAAAUAAUUGAAGUGUUAUCUCUACAAUUGAGAUAUGUCACCUUCUAAAAGAAAGGAAAGGGAAGGAAACAUGGGGGGAAAAUAGGGAAAGGGCAAAGUGAUGAUAAAGAAAAUUGGAAGUAGCAAAAUGACACAAGUGAAUUAUUGCAAGGGGUUAAGUGUAAAUUAUGUUUAUUUUAUUAGUCUAUUUAACCAGAAAGAUUGGGCUCUUGUAAGGCACCAAUCAAAAGUUCCAAUUGCUGGAAAUAACAUAAAAACUUAGACUUUGUUUGGUUUGGCAUUUUUGGAGGUGGUUCAUGAAAAUUUUAUUGUAGUUUUUUUUUUCUUGUUGAAAAAAUAUACUUGUAAGAGGAAAAAAAAUGGUUGAAAAAAAAUUGAGAGUUUUUUUUAAUAAAUUGUUUUCUAAAUAGCUCAGUCACCCAAAAUUUUCAGUAUUCUGACAAUGGCAUCCAUGUGGUGUCAAUUGUCAAACUUGCAACAAAGUUGAGAAAAGAAGGUCGUAGGUCUAGCUCUUUUUUAAUACGUUGAAUAGCUCUAUCCCAUUAGAAGGAUUUAGAACUCUUCUACCAUCUCUUUAUUUUCUUUUUUUUUUUCCCUUCAAAAUUCUACAUCAUAAUGGAGUUGGUAAAAUAGUACUAUUUUCGUCUUUGAUGUUAAAAUUUUCAUCAAUUUAUGGAAAGUUUACUAUUUCUCUAACAAGAGUUAGUAAAAUUUACUUUUUAUGAGCAGUAAAGUUUUAAAGAUUAUGAAAAAAGAAUUGUAUGAAGGAACAAAGGGGAAAAGAAAGGUAAGAAAAUGGAUGGAUUGUAUUUGGAUUGAUUUUGAGAGGGGAAAGGAGAGGAAAACGGAAAGAAAAGGAAAUGGAUGGAUUGUGUUUUGCUCAGACAUCAUUUCCCUACAAAAGUAGACGGAAACAGAGGGAAAGAAAAUCUUGUUGAUGAUUUUCUAGUAAAAUGCCUCAAGCGCCCAAAUUUUACAUAAACUGGCCAUUUGUGAAACCUGCUUUAGAUAUGAAUUGUGGGAUGCAACAGCAGGCUAGGAAUGUUUGACGAAGCAACUUAUGUAAAUAUUUUAUCGUUAAGUAAAGUUCCUCUUUUGCUGUUAAAAAAAAAGAGAGAGAGAAAAACCAUUCCUUUCAUGUCUGUCAUUCUACCAAACAGCAUAUUUAGGUUUUCUUUCUUUCCCAUCCAUAUCUUAUCCAAAUAAAACAAAUGAGAACUAUUUUCCUCUACUUUCCUUUCCUUUCUUUUUCACUAGGAUGUUUUAUUUAUUUAUCUUUCCUUUCCUUUGAUCCAAAUGGUUCCUAAAAGGGCACUAAUUCAUCUACAUUGAUCAGUUCCCUAUUUUUGUAUUAAUGUGCAUGUGCAUGUGCACGAUUCUGUGUACGUUCAUGUUGUGCAUCAAAUCUUAAGAAUGAAAAAGCUAGAUUGUAAAUUUAAGUUGAAGAAAUAUAAAACAAAAAGAGAAAAUGGAUUGGGUCCUUAAGAGUAUCAGACUUCUAAACUCCAAGGAUUACAUAAUUUUCAUAUCCUUUGCUAUAUAAAGAAGUGGGAUAGCCUAAACAAUGAAGUGUUGGAAAAACUCCAGAGGAACUGUGCCAUCCAUGAAAUCACAAAUCCACUUGCUAUACCAUGCAAUAAUGUUCAUGUCCUUGAUGAUUAAUAUAAUGAAACCAUGGUUCUAGGCCUUGAAGGAAGGAAUAAGAGUGAAAGUGGAGCUAGCAACAAAAUUUGCAGUCAGUUUUCAGGAUGGGAAGUUUGAUGUACGUGGUGAUCCAGCCUAUGUGAGGGCUUCUUGUGAAGCGAGUUUGAAGCGGCUUGAUGUGGACUGCAUUGAUCUCUAUUAUCAACAUCGCAUCGAUACACGUGUGCCCAUUGAAGUCACGGUUUGCUUGUCUUGCCUUUCUUGUUUUUUAGCUCCACCUCAUUCUUGAUGAAACAAAAAUUUGAUCAACUCCAAAUUUUGAAUAAUUCAGUUUCAUUUCCGUUUCAAUUCUUCAAAAGUUGCACAGAAAAGUUAGUCAACCUUAUGGUCUCGGCUAAUCUGCAGUAUGGUAUAGCUGAUUUUGCACAAGGCAUCCUGAAAAGUGAAAACAAUGAAAAUGUCUUGUAUUAGCUUGACGGUCCUGCUGAGGGAUAUACAGGUGGAUAUCAUCCUAUACAUUGUACAGCUUUCUUUAGAACCAAGAGACCUGAGCAUUCUCUUUCAUUUGAGAUAGGCUAUCUGGUUGAGUAAUGAUCUGCUAUUUACUUACCUUGUCAACCAUUUUCAGUUGGUGCCUAAAGCGCUGCAGAUAGACAUUUAUUAUUGAUAUCUAAAAAACAUGGUACUCAUUUUGUUCAGAGCACAGCUUUUUGUCUAAUUGUCAAAGCCAGCUGCAACUGCCCCAUUGACCUCUCCAAACAAUUCAAAGAUUUCAGCAGCUUGCUUACAUUCAGCUUUUAUGAAAUAAUUUCUGUCUUCUCUUUCUCAUGUAAUCAGCAAAGAAUUGUCUUGGUUUCCCUGAGUAUUGGGUAGAAACUUUCUUGCAGUUUAAUCAGUAUAAAGGAAAUCAAGCAAAAUUGGCAACUGAUAAUUGGUAUGUACGGCCAUUAUUAUAUAUAGAAGUCAACAAUGCCAUGUAAUCAUAUUGGAGGAGCAUUAUGUUGGCAUGGUCCAGUAGAACUAAGUCCUCUGGUGGGCUGUACAUAGAGAAGUAUCACCGGAUGCUUAUUGCCAUUUUCAUCAAUUAGUGAUUUCAGUUUGACGUGUACUUUGUCCAUGACUUCGAUGAACUAGUGCAACUUUUACUUUUUGCACGUAAUAUUUUGAUUAUCUGCCUAAGUGCUGAAUGUAAUAAGUCAGCUUAGCAUCUUCUUGUCCAUUGAAAUUCUCUAGAUAGGAGAGCUUAAGAAACUGGUUGAAGAGGGUAAAAUAAAGUAUAUAGGUAUGUCUGAGGCCUCAGCUUCAACAAUUCGAAGAGCACAUGCUGUUCAUCCAAUAACAGCUGUACAGUUGGAGUGGUCAUUGUGGACCAGAGAUGUCGAGGAAGAGAUUAUUCCCACAUGCAGGUAGUGCAUAUAUUCUGCUGCAUUUUCUACAUGGUCUAGAAGAAAUAUUAAGUUCUCAAUUCAGUUUUUGGUAUAAUCUUUCAGAGAGCUUGGCAUAGGGAUUGUUGCAUACAGUCCACUUGGACGAGGUUUCUUCUCAUUAGGUCCAAAGCUGAUCGAGAAUUUGGCUGAAGGUGACUACCGAAAGGUUUGUGCAUAUCGAAAAAGAUGGAGUUUUUUAGUAUACAUUGUUUAUAGUUCGAAUAAGUUUCUCACUCAUCUAUUUUUACCACAUUCAGUGGCAAUCAUGCUUGAUAUCCCUAUUGUUGUCUAUCACAAGCAAUGGGUAGUAUCAAUUUUUAAAGUGCAAAGAUGUCAAAAGAGGAAGAAACUAUGUCACUUUUUAAGUAAAAGUCUCUUUACGGUUUUGAGGGGAAAUGGACCUUGGACUUCAAUUUCAUCAUUUAAUCUCAGGCACAGAACUUAUGCUGUCCUGUGAAACUAUCAUUUUUCCUUUACCAUUAAUCCUAAAACUGAGUUUCAUUGGUCAGAAAUAUACUUCAUAGUAGUACCUCCUCUAUCGUUCAUAGUAGUACCUCCAUCGUUCAAACAAACAAAAAUUAGUUGAUUUGUAUUUUAAGUUUCCUCUUUGAUGGGAAAUGUAUCUCAGAACUUAACUCCAACGGUUGAUGCUUCCUCCGUGGAGUAUUCAGUCGAACUUGAUGUAUUGUUCUUUCCCCUGAACUUGUGCCCUUCAAACAGUAUUUCUGAUCAUCUUGAAGUAAUUAGUACCGUCUGUUCAUUACUCCCUCCCGAUUUCUUGCAUUAUAGUUUCCUCUUUAAUGGGAAAUGUAUCUCAGGAUCUACCUUCUACAAUUGAGGUUUCUUAGAGUACUCAGUCCACCUUACUGGAUUGUUCCUUCCCCUGAACUUUGUACACCUUAAACAAUACUAUCAAUCAUCUUGAAGUUAUUCAUAUUGUCUUCAUUUGUAGACGACACAUGCUUUGCUCCCUUUUGAAUUUCUGGCAUUACAGUUGCUUAAAUUUUGAAAUUCAUACAAUGUAGGGUAUGCCAAGGUUUCAAGCAGAGAAUUUGGAGCACAACAAGAACUUGUACGAGCAGGUCAAUGCCAUUGCUUCAAGGAAGGGUUGUACUCCAUCACAGCUAGCAUUGGCCUGGGUCCAUCACCAAGGCAAUGAUGUUUGCCCCAUACCUGGCACUACCAAGAUUGAGAACCUCAAUCAGAAUAUAGGAGCUUUGUCUGUAAAACUGUCAGCAGAGGAAAUGGCGGAACUUGAAUCUUUGGCUUCUGCGGGAGUCAAGGGUGAUAGGUAUGGGCCUGGCCUUGGUACUUGGCAAACUUCUGAAACUCCACCUUUGUCAACCUGGAAGAGAACAUGAAGACAUACUUUGUUAUGGCAAUAAUUCCUUCUAGCUAUGUGCCUGAUGGUGGAUUCCACUAUAUUAAGAGUUGAGUGAUAUGUAUUUGUUCCAAU